rnacentral:lncRNA from 1 species
ACUGAAGAUAUUAAAAAUCAGAACUUCUUCUCCAAGUUUUCAUUUAGUUUAUUUCACUUGUCCAUCGGAAUUUUAUGCAAAGAAGAUUAAAUAAAGACAAUAGCAUGCCAAAGAUUAAAACCCCUCAUUUCAAACUCUGCUAAUGCACAACUCUGUUUGGUUUUCUUCUCCAGAGACCAGACUGAGUGAGGAGUCAAGUUCUCCAGUGCACCAACAAUCUCCCGUUCGAGCAGCCAUCACCACCUCACUUGCCACUCCGGCGAGGCACCACCUUGCCACCACCCUCAUGUCUCACUCCCUCUCUACCACUCUCCCUAUUUCCCUCACCUCUUUCUCUCGAUACUGUGCUCGCUGCACAGAAACAGCAAGGCAACCACCGUCGCCUUUUUUCACAGCGAACUACGCCGUAACGAAACCAUCACCAUUAAUCUCGCUACCUAGGCGAGUUUUACCACCCUCUGCAAACUGCCUUCAUGCCUUCUAAUUUCAAUUCUUGCAUUUCUUGUAUGGUAUCCAUGUCUUGCACAUUCAAAUACUUAUAUACCGACUGAGAAUAACAAUAUAAAUCCCACACCCACCUCUUUUUCCCCACUUGAAAAAAUCACCUAAAAACAACAUUAACCACCAUAGUUUAAGAAUCCAAACAUGGCUCCAAAUUUCAAUCUAAUUAAUUAAAUUACAGAGGAUUCUACCUACCUCAUGAAAACAAAUAUGUUCAAUUAAAGAAAUUCCCUAACCAAUGCAGUGCAUCUUAAACUACUUCUUAACUAUGUCAGCCAUACCAAUCUAAUAAAAAAUCCAUGUUUCAAUCGAUUCUUAUUAAUUCCAACUCCAAGUAUUUCAGCAUCUAGAUUAUAGAAAAAUCAUAACAAAACAAAACUCAAUCUUGGUGCUAAAGCACACUUCGUUAACCUCACCUUCAUCAAGUCCAUGAUUCCUGCCAUGAGAUCUUUCUCUUAAUCCAGACUUGGCUUCAGAUGCAAGAUCAAAAUAACGAAGCAUUCAGUUCCAUUUCUACGCACAGCAAAUUAAAAAUUGAAAUAUGUUAUAAUUUACUCGGAAUCUUCAUAAGUAUCAUCAAAACAUAUAAACAGAUACAUUUGAAAACUGAUAAAGCUACCUAAUUAAGUUGAAAAGUUGCUAAUUAAGAUCAGGUGCCAGUGCAUCCAGUGAGCCUUCCAAGGAAAGAUGGCCCCAUGGACUUAGACCUUGAAAACUGAGGCUUGUUUUGCCUUGUAAUUGUAUGAUCAGUAGCAUUCUUAUGGAUUGUAAUUGUAUGAUCAGUAGUAUCCUUAUGGAUUCCCAGAUGAAUCCUCAAAAUUUUGUUCUCAUCUGUUAGCUUAUGCACAUGGGACAAAAGCCGCUCAAUUGUUUCACACUUCUCCUUGUUUCUCCUUAUCAACUCAGCUCACUGCUGCAUAUUUCGUCAAUGAGUUUCGAGAUCUUUUCAUGCAACAUUUUAUCUUUUUCAACCACAUUACCAUCAGAUUCUACACCAUGAUCAAUACUCUCUUUUUCCAAAUAUUCUUCAAAAGUACACAAACCAACCUUUUUUAGGACAGACCAGCAUUUGUUUGUUUUGAUGGCUCUGAAUUUGGUUUCCGUUUUCUCUUUGUGGUGGUCUGAUCAAGAUGCAGUCCAAAAACUAAUUUGAGUGCCUACACAGAUGAACAUCGCAUAAAAAUCAAAAAUAAAAAACAGCAGCAGAGAUAAAAAAAAAGACAAUAAUUCUAAAAAAAUUUAAAUCAAAAGCUUAAGACUAACUCACAGGAAGUUCUGUGAGUUAAUUUUUUGGGCAAAAAAAAAUUCUAUUAAUGCAUUCUCAUACAAAAAAAAAUUCUUUAAAUACUGAUUUCAUGCGAUCCAGGAGCUAAGUGCUUAAAUCAGAAAAAUUUCUUUAACCCAGAUACUCUUAUAUUGCAGUGCAGCAAAGUUUUUCUUGAACGCUGACGAAUAUCACUCUGAAAUUAACCCAAAUAUAUCUCAGAGAUUGCAGAGAUUCAGACAAUCAAUAAUAAGAUGGCCGGAAUGUUCUUUAUUCAUUUGUCCUCCAUACUCUACCCUAAUCUUCUUAGGAUUUUAGUUAAACAACUUGCUCCUGUAACAGCUAUAUUAAAGCAUAAAUAUUCAUGAACACUCAUCACCAAUAGCAAAAAGGCAUAAAGUAUUUUUACAUAAAUCUAAAGAUCCCUUUUGUGUCCCAAACCCAGGUCUGUCCUCUCUUUGCCUUCCUCCUUCAGGGCAUAAUUAGAGAUACCCACCAACAGUAUAACCAGAAAAAUUGCAGUGAGAUUUUAAAGUACGAACUUUAUUUGAUAUUGCAAUGAAAUAUAACAAAAUGUAAAAAAAUUGUUAUUUUGGUAAUAGACAGUGGAAUAACAGAAGAAGCCGAACCCAGAAAAAUUAAAAACACAUAAUCACAGUAGAAGAAGCAAACCCAAGAAAAUACAUAAAAUAAAAUAAAAGGGUGCAACUUUUAUUGGCGGGUGAAUGAGUAGACAAUAAAAAAAAGUGCAAACUUUGAGUUCAAAACAAACCUCGUACCAUUGAAAUUUGAGACUUGGAGUCGCCCACGUGAAGGGUUUUAUGAGAAGACAGUAUUAGGCGUGCUGAAGUUAGUUUAUGCUUUUAGUUGUAAAUUCACAUCUAAUACUAGUUGAACACAAAUUUCAGCAAAUACACAGAAGAAAUAGCAAGAAUUCAUUUCAGAAAUGGGAAAAAAUUAAAUUAAAAAUAGAAAACAAAGGGCCGAAAAGCUGCAUACCUAAACACAAUUUCAUAUCUUUUUAUCCUCUUCGAGUACCGAUCCAUUCCAGAGAGAGGGAGAGAGGAGGAAGGAGACGACGAAGGGGGAGAGGAGGGAGAGGAAGGCGAGAGGAGGAAAACGACGGAGGCGAUUUACUGUCUGUGUUGUUCUCGCGGGGACUGCGAGAUGAACGAGGUGAGGAAUGACCAGGUGGCUCUGGGCUCAAGGUCAGUGAAGCAGUGGCGAAGCCAAGAUUUACCGAGGGGAGGGGAGGGGCGAAAUUCAAAAGAGUGCAAAGUUAUCGAAUGGUUGCUUUCACAUUGGAGAGUGUAAAGUUUUGAGUCAAUAUUCAUAGCAAAAGAUAGUUUUGCAUCAAAGUUGUUGUAAGCAAUAAUAUCAAAACUAAUGUAAGAAGCUUAAAUUGGCAAAGAUUAUAUCGUAAAAAAUAUUGUGUGCUAGUCAAAUAGUGGACCUAGCAGACCUAGGCGAUAUCUAAGCAGAAGCCUAGAUGGAUUUAAAUUAUCGUAAAAUAAGUAUUAAACAAUAUUUACAUUGUUUUUAAAAAAUAAUACAAUAUUUAUAGAUAAUGUGAGAGUUUAAGAAAAUACGGUGAGAGUCUUAAAAGAGAAAAUAAAAGGGAAGUGUUAUUGGCACUCCAAAAAUCUCAUUCUACACUCCUCACAAGUGUAUUUUUAUUUCUAAAUAUAGAAAAUUUUGAAUGUAGAAUGAGAUUUUUAGAGUGCCAAUAACAAUUCCCAAAUAAAAAUACAUACACGAACAAAAAUUUGAAAAAAAAGAGAGAAAUAGGUUAAUAAGGACAAUACUUGGGUACUGCCUUUUUUCAAUGACUACAAUGUCACUCAGUAAAGUUAAAACAUGUGUCCUACUUUUCUUAUUAAAACUAGCAACCAAACACCCUCGUGUUUAAGGAAGACGGGCAUCCAAACAACCCAUUUAUUCCUUUCGUCCCUAACAUCUCCGCACGUCUGUAUACCAUGGUUUCCAUUGCUCUCAUCAUCACCACUCCAUUUCAAACAUAAGCACAAACACAAACAAUAAUCCAGCAAUAAUUUACCCAUUUGAAAACCCAAUUUUUUUUUUCAAAUCUGGACAAACAACCAAAUUUCAUUGCGACCCGCCACCAAUCCUUAUCUCCUUCGGUGACCCACCACCAAUCCUUCUCUACUUCGACGACCCACCUCCUCUCACUCUCUUCUACAGAAAGACUAACUCCUUGUCCUUCUCUUGAACGACGGCGAUUGCUGAAGACUGUCUCCCCCACAGCAAUAGAAACCAGAUCACUGGAGCGGGAAUUCUCAUUUCCGACGAGAGCGGAGGGGCUGAACGAGCGCUCUUAGGCAUGUUUUCCGGCGAGGGGAGUGGCGGCCGCCACUCCUUACCCUCACGUAGCUUCGCCACUGUCAGUGAGAAAAUGAGAGACCUAAACGGCUAGGUUAGAAAUGAGAGUAUGGGUUGAGGGGCACAGAAGAUCUGGAAAUGAUUUUUACCUUUCAAUUUGGAAAUGAUUUUUGCUGACCACUGUCAUGUUCCGUGAUUUCUUCCAUCACAAGAAAUCAAGUUGGGCUCAAAUUGUAAUAGUUUGGGUUCAAUUUGCAAUUUACAGCUUUUAAGUGGUAUUUUAUUUUAGGGUUAAUAUCAGUUUACUAUCCUGAAAUUUUGUGAUUUUCAAUAUUUGGUACAUGAAAUUUUUUUCAUCCCAGAGUCAUACCUCAAGACUUAAUUUUGGGACAAUUUCAUACAACCGUUAGAAAUUCUGUUAACUAAUGACGUGGUGUUCACGUGGACAAUAAUUGAGCGCCAUAUGCCAAUAUUGGCCCACUCCAAUAUUAAAAAAAAUUAUAAAAAAAAAAAAAAGAAAACCCAACCUUCCCUCACCCACCCCCUCCCCCGGCACCCUCUCCCUCUGUUCUCUCUUCUGCAAGUCCCAGCACCUCUCGAUUUUCCUUCAAUUUGACCCAUUUGGGACUGGGAGCCAAAUUAGACUAGGAGUUGGAAUUUGAGGUUCCAGGGGAAAUGGGGAAGACCCAGAUGGCAAUCUGAUUCACCAUUGGAGAUAAAACUGAAUCUGGAUAUUUGCACAGUGCAAAGCUCAGAUCCGUUCACAAUCAAGCUAUUACAGAAGAAGACUUGAGGUUUGGACUUGCAGGCGGCAACGUUGGCCAAUGUCCACACGUUCAGGCAGAGGCUGGUGACCUCGACGAGGAUCAGAAGGGAGAGAAUGGCGGCUGCACUGUGCGAAGCGACGCAGCAGCAUGUGAGGAAGAUGAAGAGUGUGAUGAGGAUGACAGCGAGGGUGAUGUGGGCGAGGAGAACAGAGGCGUGGAAUUGGAGAAGAGAGAAGGGAGAAGCGAGGGAAGAGGUGAGGGUUGCAGAAGAGAGAAAUGAUGGAGAUGGUGCGGGGGGGUGAGGGACGGGUGGGAUUUUAUUUUUAUUUUUAUUUUUUUUGUUUUUGUGUUUUUGUUUUUAUUUUUUUAAUUUUUUAAUAUUGAAGUGGGCUCAUAUUGACAUGUGGCACUCAGUUAUUGUCCACGUGGAUGUCACGUCAUCAGUUAACAAAAUUUCUAAUGGAAAACUUAACGGAUGUAUGAAACUGUCCCAAAAUUAAGACUAGAGGUAUGACUCUGAGAUGAAAAAAAAAACUUCAUGCACCAAAUGUUGAAAACCACGAAAUUUCAGGAUAGUAAACAGAGAUUAACCCUUUAUUUUACUAGUUUCUUUGUUAGUGACAAGUGGCAAGACAGACAUGUGUAAUGGGUUGGCUAUAUAGCCACACUCUCUCUCUUCCAACUGUUAGAAUGAAUUUAAUAUAAUUUCACAAAAGCUGAGCUAAUCUCUUUCCUUCUUCCUUCUCUAUUUAUGUAUCUUGCUCGGUCAAGGUUGAACGGUAGUUUGAAGUUGGUGGGUAUCUUGCAAGUUCCCUCAACUUUAGACUAUGGUAAUGGUCUAUCCAUUUAUACCUGUGGGUGGUGGUAGUGCCUAGUGGUGGCUUGCUGUUGUCUAUAAAAUGUGUGGCCUUAUGCUUGUUGUAAAUAAUGGGUAUGUUUGCCCACAUGUGUGUACUAUAUACUCACAAGCUAAAUAGUAAUGUUUUGUAAUUUUCCAUUGAAGUGGCUCUAUAAAUAGAGCACUUCAUUUGUGCAAAAGAGGGAUAUAAGAAGAAGAAAUAAAAGAGAAAUAUAUCUAAUAGCAAUAAUAUACAUUACUUCCUCAGCAACAGCUUGUGUUGGUAUAAUACUCUGCAACUGCUUCGUUCCUGUCCCGAGUAAAGGUUAUCUCUCUAUAAAUUUUGCCUAUUUAUAACACGUUAUCAGCACGAGUCUCUAAGUAUAACCAUGUCUCAUUUACAUUCACUAAACAAUAAAGGAAAUCAUUCUCUCUUUUCUCUCCGCCGAACGAAAAAAAAAAAAAAUGUUUCCUCUAAGGUUUUUCCUGUUCAUCUUCUUCAUCUGCCUCAACUGCGCGGUAUAUCCUCGUGACGAACUAUUUGCUCCAUGCCUGCUCGUAGUUCUCCAACUAGCGGUUACAUACAUCUUUGAUUACUUGUUUGGUUUGGAUAUUGAUUACUAACAUAGUAUUUAUAUUGAUUUUACUGCGAUCCAAGAUGGUGCGGUAUCAUCGCCUAUCUUGGACUGCAGAUCUACUUUUACUGCAAAUUUCAGGUGGAGCGGUAUAAUCGCCCUCCUUGCUCUCCAAAUUUAAAUUUACCUGUUAUUUAAUUUCAUUGCAAUUUUAGGUGGUGCGGUAUAAUCGCCCUCCUUGCUCUCCAAAUUUAAAUUUACCUGUUAUUUAAUUUCAUUGCAAUUUUAGGUGGUGCGGUAUAAUCGUCCACCCUGCUUUGCAUAUUUAAAUUUUAUCGCAAUUUUAGGUGGUGCGGUAUAAUCGUCCACCCUGCUUUGCAUAUUUAAAUUUUAUCGCAAUUUUAGGUGGUGCAGUAUAAUCGUCCACCUUGCUCUACAUAUUUAAAUUUUCCUGCUGUUUAAAGUAGUGCGGAAUAAUCACCCAUCCUAUACUUAUUUCGAUGAGAAUGGUGCGGUACAAUUGCCCUUCUCAUUAAUUGUGUAAAUCUCGAGCCUGAAGUUUCGAGUACUUAUCAUUUUGGCCUGAAGAUCAAAAAUUUGUAAGAACCAGAAGUUCUAACAAUAUAUUUCUCCAGUACACAUAUUACUGCAAGUUCUUACACACCUCAUUUUUCUUUCAGAAAAGAAAAUGGCAAACUUGGCAAAGCUUGAUUUUGCUGCCCUGGACAUUACUGGAAAGAAUUACCGUACAUGGGUACUGGAUACCAAGAUCCAUCUGGAAGCAGCAAAUCUUGGAGAAACCAUCAAGAAAGAGAGCAGCUCAUCCUCUCAAGAUCGGGCAAAGGCCAUGAUUUUUAUUCGUCGCCAUCUUGAUGAGGCACUAAAGAGCGAGUACUUAACGGUUAAAGAUCCGUUAGCCCUUUGGAAUGCCUUGAAAAGCAGAUACAAUCACCAGACAACGGUGAUUCUUCCAAAAGCUCGCUAUGACUCGACUCACCUAAGGAUCCAGGAUUUCAAAUCAGUGGCUGAGUACAAUUCGGCGUUGUUCAGAAUUACCUCUCAGAUGAAACUCUGUGGGGAUACUAUCACUGAGGAGAUGUUAUUGGAAAAGACUUUCAGCACAUUCCACGCCUCUAACAUGGUACUGCAACAGCAGUAUAAAGCGCGAGGCUUCACUGAAUACAACCAGCUGAUAUCUGUGCUCCUGGUAGCUGAACAGAACAAUGAGCUUCUCAUGAAAAACCAUAAUUCCCGACCUACUGGAUCAGCACCGUUCCCAGAAGUGAAUGUUGCUUCCCUUGAAAGGAAUACCAUAUCCUCCCGUGGCAAUAAUUACAAACGAGGAUGUGGCCACAAGCAAGGUCGGUGGAAAGGGAAAAGCAAGAACCAUGGUGUCCAGUUUCACAACCAGGUUCCAAGGUAUAAUCCAGGCCCGAGCUUUAAAAAUACCAAUCGCCAGAAAGGAAAAGCUCAUGUGAACACUCCUAGAAAUCAUGAAGGAGGUUGCCAUAGGUGUGGUGGCAACGGACAUUGGGCGCGUACUUGUCGCACCCCAAAGCAUCUGGUGGAACUAUAUCAAGCCUCCUUCAAGGAGAAGGGUGUCGAGAUCAAUUUCCUUGACCAGGCUAAACCAAUGGAAACCCCUGAUCCAGUGACCAAUUUAUCAGGACAAUUAAACACAACCCACCUGGAUGCUACAGACUUUAUUAAUGAAAGAGGGAAUGAAGUUUAUGGGUCCGAUUGAAUUAUUUAUGUUUAAUGUACUCAUGUUUUUUGUACCUGUGGUUUAAUGCUCGCAUUUUCAAUUCAAUAAAAGUAGUAUUCCAGUAUGAAUAAACUGCUUUUUCUUUACUCAGAGAUCAUGGAUAAAAAUUAUGGUUAUUCUCAAAACAAGAUCAAUGGCGGAGACUUUUGUCUUGCAGAUAGCGCAACCACGCAUUCAAUACUUCGAGAUCGAAAGUAUUUCUCGAAUUUGGUACUUGCAAAAGUAAAGGUAACAACAAUAUCAGGACCAUCAGAUGUAAUUGAAGGCUCAGGAAAAGCCCAGAUUAUGUUACCAAAUGGAACAAUAUUGUCUAUAAUGAAUGCAUUAUAUGCUACUCGGUCCAUUCGAAAUUUGUUGAGUUUUAAAGACAUACGUCUAAAUGGAUACCACCUUGAAACGAAAAUUGUAGAAAAUGUGGAAUAUUUAUGCAUUACCUCCAAUGAUACCCAGAAGCGUAUAUUGGAGAAGUUGCAUGGUUUAUCGAGUGGAUUGUAUUGUACAUACAUAAAGACAGUUGAGGCAUAUACUGUCAUGAACCAGAAGUUCAUUGAUUCAAAGGUUUACAUGCUUUGGCAUGACCGUCUAGGUCAUCCAGGAUCUACCAUGAUGCGUAGAAUCAUUACCAACUCUAAUGGACAUCCAUUACUGAGCAGACACAUUAAUGUCUCGAAUGAUAAACCUUGCAAGGCUUGUUCCCAAGGGAAGUUGGUAAUUAGACCAUCACAACUAAAGGUUGAUGAUGAAUCCCCAUCAUUUUUGCAAAGAAUUCAAAGGGAUAUUUGUGGACCUAUUCAACCACCUUGUGAACCAUUUCGAUAUUUUAUGGUUUUGGUUGAUGCAUCUACCCGAUGGUCACAUGUUUGCCUAUUGUCUACUCGAAAUGUAGCUUUUGCAAGACUUCUUGCUUAGAUAAUUAAGUUGCGAGCACAGUUCCCAGAUCAUCCCAUUAAGUCCAUUCGACUUGAUAACGCUGGUGAAUUUACGUCUCAAACCUUUGAUGAUUACUGUAUGGCAUUGGGCAUUGAUGUUGAACACCCUAUUCCUCAUGUCCAUACUCAAAAUGGUUUAGCAGAAGCAUUGAUCAAGCGGCUUCAAUUAAUAGUCCGCACUCUGCUUAUGAAAACCAAAUUGCCAGUUUCUGCAUGGGGACAUGCCAUUCUACAUGCUGCAUCAUUGGUUCGAUUGAGACCUAUAGCCAACCACCAAUACUCCUCAAUACAACUCAUGUUUGGACAUCAGCCAAACAUUUCACAUUUACGAGUUUUUGGUUGUGCUGUUUAUGUGCCUAUUGCACCCCCGCAACGCACUAAAAUGGGACCUCAGCGUAGACUGGGAAUUUAUGUGGGUUUUGAUUCACCAUCUAUUAUUAGAUAUUUGGAACCCUUGACAGGUGAUAUAUUUACAGCUCGUUUUGCUGAUUGUCAUUUUGAUGAGACAGUCUUCCCAUCGUUAGGGGGAGAAAAGACCGUUCCAGAAGAACGGAAAGAGCUGACAUGGGUUGUUCCCACCUUAUCUCAUUUUGAUCCUCGAACCCUUCAAUGUGAAAAUGAAGUGAAAAGGAUCGUUCAUCUUCAAAGCAUUGCCAAUCAAAUGCCAGAUGCAUUUAAUGACGUUAUGAAAGUGACAAAAUCGCAUAUACCAGCUGCAAAUGCACCUGCCAGAAUUGAUGUCCCUGUUGGACAAAAUAAAGUGGCAGCGAAUGAUUCAUCUGGUGCACGCCUGAAGCGUGGUAGACCACCAGGUUCAAAAGAUUCAGCCCCUCGGAAGAGAAAGACGAGAGCACAACUGAAUCCAAAUGAAAUCAUUCAGGAAGAGAGAGUAAAUGACAAAUCCACAAUUCAUGACUCUGGACUUCCAGAAGAAGAAAAUGGCCCUGAAGAGACAGAAGUACAUGAAAGCAAAGAAAUCUCCAUAAACUAUGCAUGUACUAAUGAAUUGUGGGAUCGGAAUGAAAUAAUCAUUGACGAUAUGUUUGCAUUCGCAGUAGCCACUGAAAUCAUAUUAAGUGAUGAUAUUGAGCCCCGCUCUGUUGAUGAAUGCAAACAGAGACAAGAUUGGCCUAAGUGGAAAGAUGCAAUCCAGGCAGAAUUAAAUUCCUUGGAAAGGCGAAGUGUUUUUGGACCAGUAGUCCAAACCCCAACUGAUGUAAACCCCGUAGGUUACAAAUGGGUAUUUACAAGGAAACGCAAUGAGAAAAACGAGAUUGCUAGAUACAAAGCACGACUCGUUGCACAAGGCUUUUCACAAAGACCUGGAAUUGAUUAUGAGGAGACAUACUCUCCUGUAAUGGACACAAUUACGUUCUGUUACUUAAUAAGUUUGGUGAUUUCAGAAAAACUUGACAUGCGACUUAUGGAUGUCAUCACCGCGUAUCUAUAUGGAGAAUUAGAUACUGACAUAUUCAUGAAAGUCCCAGAAGGACUUAAGUUGCCUGAAGCAACAAACAAACCAUGGGGUAUGUUCUCAAUCAAAUUAAGGCGAUCACUAUAUGGGCUGAAACAAUCUGGGCGAAUGUGGUAUAAUCGUCUCAGUGAGUAUUUGAUUAAAGAAGGAUAUAUCAACAAUGUCAUCUGCCCUUGUGUGUUCAUUAAGAAAUCCAACUCUGGAUUUGCUAUAGUGGCAGUAUAUGUUGAUGAUAUGAACUUAGUUGGGACUCCUGAAGAGCUCCAUAAAACUGCUGAAUAUCUGAAAAGCGAAUUUGAAAUGAAAGACCUUGGGAAAACCAAAUAUUGUCUAGGCCUGCAGAUCGAGCAUUGUGUUAGUGGAAUUUUGGUCCAUCAAUCAGCUUACAUUGAAAAAAUACUGAAGCGAUUUGGCAUGGACAAGGCUUAUCCACUUAGCACCCCAAUGGUCGUUCGUUCUUUAGACAUUAAGAAAGAUCCAUUCCGUCCAAAGGAAGAUGAUGAACUGGUCCUUGGUCCAGAAGUACCAUAUUUGAGCGUAAUAGGUGCUUUAUUGUAUUUAGCACAAUGUACUAGACCAGAUAUAGCUUUUUCAGUUAACUUGUUAGCCAGGUACAGCUCUGCUCCAACAAUUCGUCAUUGGAAGGGAGUCAAAGAUGUUCUACGAUACCUUCGUGGGACAACAGAUAUGGGUCUCUUCUAAUCAGACAAGCCCACAAAUGAACAAAUCCUUGUUGGAUACGCAGAUGCUGGUUUUCUCUCCGAUCCGCAUAAAGCCCGCUCACAAAAUGGAUAUGUGUUCACUAAUGGAGAUACUGCAAUUUCAUGGCGAUCAACGAAGCAAACGCUAGUUGCAACAUUUUCCAAUCAUUCGGAAAUAAUUGCUCUACAUAAAGCAAGUCGUGAAUGUUCUUGGUUAAGAUCAAUGAUCCAUCACAUCUGGAAUUCAUGUGGUCUACCUUCAAAGACAGACACUCCAACUGUCAUCCAUGAAGAUAAUGCAGCCUGUGUCGCCCAGAUGAAGGAAGGAUUUAUCAAAGGUGAUAAGACUAAACACAUAUCUCCAAGAUUUUUCCGCGCACAUGAGCUUCAGAAGGCUAAAGUUAUUGAAGUCAGACAAAUCCGUUCCAAUGAAAAUUUAGCAGACUUGUUCACCAAAUCUCUACCAAAGUGCACAUUUCAGAAGUUGGUACAGGGAAUCGGAUUACGUCGGCUUACGGAUUUGAAGAAUGCGGAAUCAGGGGGAGAUACAAUUCAGGGGGAGCAUCCAUGAUACAUGCAUGUUGUACUCUUUUUCCUUCGCUUAGGACUUUUCCCACUGGGUUUUUCCUAUCAAGGUUUUAACGAGGCAACCUAAGCAUGCUCAACACCAUCCGGGUAAAGUUGUACUCUUUUUCCUUCGCUAUGGUUUUUUCCCACAGGGUUUUUCCAAGCAAGGUUUUAAUGAGGCAACUGAUGUUGAUAUGUGGGCAUCCAAGGGGGAGUGUUGUAAAUAAUGGGUAUGUUUGCCCACAUGUGUGUACUAUAUACUCACAAGCUAAAUAGUAAUGUUUUGUAAUUUUCCAUUGAAGUGGCUCUAUAAAUAGAGCACUUCAUUUGUGCAAAAGAGGGAUAUAAGAAGAAGAAAUAAAAGAGAAAUAUAUCUAAUAGCAAUAAUAUACAUUACUUCCUCAGCAACAGCUUGUGUUGGUAUAAUACUCUGCAACUGCUUCGUUCCUGUCCCGAGUAAAGGUUAUCUCUCUAUAAAUUUUGCCUAUUUAUAACUAUGCUUUGUUUAUUGGAUAUUUAUAAUAUUAUACAAUUCCAAUUACUUUAGUCUAAAGUAGGAAAUCCAAUUGCAUUGUUCAACUUCAACUGAACAGUGUUUUGGACCGAAUUUCACUUUAUUUACAAAAUUUCCACCACCCCUAUCUGUCGUUCAAAUUUUGCUUAUAUCUUUGUGCAGUGUGUCUGUUGUAUUAUCUGGUCACAGAUACCUUAGUUCAGUAAUUUGAGAAGCAUGGGGAGACAAUAGACUAAUCAAAGAGAUGCAUGUGAUCAACGAUAAACAAGUAAGCAUCAUCCUCUUCCUUCUUUUGUUAUGAUUCGUUGUAUAGAGAAUUGAGAAAAAAGUUGAAGACAAUUCCGCGCUUUUGAGUUAUAGCAAUUAAUAUCUAAAAUGACAUUGAUUAGUUCACUUAAGUGUUGAAUCCUUCGUUAGUUUAUCUAUGGUGUGUGCUUGAGAAUGAAAGCAAUGGACAUUAUAUAGAAUUGAUGUUCCUUUUAAUGUCAGUAAAGAAAGGAGUUGUUCCUUUAUUAGCAAUUAUAUGAAGUAGGCAUAUUAUACAAUGUCUACAAUCGACUAUUUUACUUUUUGUAUAUAAGUAAAAAUGUUGAUCGAAAGCCACAAAAACUACCUAAGGGCCGAAGAACUGUUUAUGUUAGAAGAACAGAAUAUGGUGUAAAGCUUAAAUUUUGGGCACUUCAAAAUAUGUUUUUUUUUUCAAUUAUAAUAACUUGCAUGAAAAUUCAAUUGGGUUUGUUCUAGUCUCCAAGAAUUUUGCUUUGUUUGGUUACUAAUUAAUUUAUGUGGUGGGAGUUUAGUUUUUCCUUUUCUGCCUAUGUAUAUAUAAUUCGAAAUGGACCGUUCAAUUUGCUAUAUAUAAAUUUGUAAUCGAAAAGCUCGAAAAAGAGGUGAAUAAAAAACAAUGGUGGUAGAGUGAUGGAGUUGAGGAGUUGAGAGUUUACAGGGUUUACUUGAAUUUUUGUAUGAUGUCCCUGGUAUGUUAGAUCAUUGAAACUAACUGUCUGGUUGAUUAAUCACUAAUUUGAAAUAUUUAAAGUGUAACUUUUCUUUAAUUCACUUUUCUUUUGUAUUUUCAUUGGAGUGCAGAUAAAAGAUAUUUCUUUUAUCUUUUUCAACCACAAACUUUCCGAUGUCUUUUGAGAGUGGUCCAACUAGAGUAUUGGAUGACAAGUUUAGGUUUAAUAUAUACUUGAGUUCCCACAAGGAAGAUGGUAUUUUAGAAGUUAACAAAUUGGACCCUAACGAUAGACUUCUUAGAGAUACGUCCUCCCAGUUUGUAGCCUUUGUAUUGAAGUUGGAAUUGCUUCGCUCAACUGAUUAUUUCCCAGGCUUAAAUCUAUCAAGUUGUUGAAGUUACCAAUAUCAACGAGAAUGUUACCGUUGAUGUUGGAAAUGCUUAAAUCAAUAGUUAGGAGUGACGUAAAGAUAUGCUAACAGUUUGGGUCUUUUACGACUUGAAAUAUACGGCGUACAGACCGGCAUGCCUUAAAUGAUAUUAUUCAUGACAUUCAUAAAGUUCAUAUCGUAAUACUUACGCAUAAUCUCGUAUUCACAACAUCACUUUUAUGCAAGUAGUUAAAUAAAAAUAUUUAUGACUUAAGCGUUGUCUAUCGUAUCUCACAAUCCCAUAGUAUUCAAUCUACAACUUUCAUUUACCUCACAUAUCUCAGGUUUUGUCUAUCUCUCUCUGCCUCUCUCACGCAGUCUCUCUCUCGACUUUCACUCUCUCAGAUUCGUAUCUCCCAAUCCCAGCGGCCUCGAUAUCUCUCUCGUCUCCAACCACGAUACCACCAUCAUCUCCUGUCAACUCUCGACUCUCUCCCACCACCUGCACUUGACGGUCCUGACUCCUGACCACCAUCUAUGUUCCAAAUAAGGUAUGCAGUUAGGGAUUUAAGAUUGAAAUAAAUUGGGGUUUUCUAGAUUUAGGGAUUUGGAUUUGGUCAAUUCUGGAAUCAAAUGUUAAUUAUAAUUUGUUUAAUUUUGGCAAUUUGAGUGCAAAAUUAGGGUUUUGUUAUUUCAAGUGUUGACAGUAAGACCCUUUGUCAAUUAGUAACCACUUAGUGCUUGUUUUCGAUCUGUCAUUGAAUACGAAAUCACGACUUUUAAUUUUUCAUUUUACAAGUCAUCAUAAGGAAUAGAUAAUUCUAGAAUUAUAGUGCAAACUCUUGAUUUUCAGUUUCAGACUUGGUUUUGUUUCAGAAUUCUGAGGAAUUUUAAUCAUGGUGUUGGGGAUUUGUUAAUUUUGCUCUCUCGCUCUCUCUCGCUCUCUCUCUCUCUCUCUCUCUAUGAUUUGGUUGGGAUUGCAGAGUGACUUGGGUUUCUUUGUAUGCAUGUCCCGGACCUCCAGGUCACAUGGGGUACUUAGCAAGGUUUUACUUUUGCAAAGGAGAUGGAGAUGUUACAGACUUACAGUGAUACUGCAAUCCAAAUAAUCUGUUUUGAAAAUCCAAAUAAUCUGUGAGUAUGUUGUAGCAGUAGAAUAACACUGUGGGGCUUAGCCUAGUACUUAAAUUAUUGACUUUGUUGCUUAGGAUAAUUUGAUUGAGUUCCUUUGGUAUGAUUUAUAUUCACUUAUUUAUUCUAUUUAUUUUUACUAUUUUUCAGGUAGCAUUCAAGUCUUUGGUGAAAUUUUAAACGAAGAGGUUGCAAAUGCAGCGGUAAUGAGUGGAAAAGUUUAUACUUACUUUUAUUAGUAUUGAAGUCUUUAUCAAUUUCUAAGUUAACAUUUUGUUUUGACUAGCUCGUAACUUACCAAUCGAAUCCAUCCCCUUUGACUAGCUAGAGUAUCUUGGUUGGGAACUCUAUCUGUUCCCAGCGCCUAGUAUCCAAAGAUGAAGUUGAGACGGGUUGGGAACUCUCUCUUUCUCUCCUUUUGUUUUAGUUCCCAAGAAAGUUGAUUGGAUUGAAGAAAAUGGAACAAAAAGAAAUGAAAAAAAAAUUGAAAUUUGUUGGUGCUUAUGUUGAUGUUGAAUUUGUAAUAUAUUAAGACCCAAAAACUAGAUAAAUGGCUAACUUUGAUGUAAAUUGAUAACAGCAAGCCACUAGGUCAAAAAACAGUGAGUCUUACCUUAGAGCUUUUGGGGAUAUCAUAAUUGAUAACCAUAUCCACCGAUCGAAUAUCCAAUCUUGUACUUGCCGCAUCAAUUCUUCAUGCAUGAAAUGUUAAGAGACUCAUAAAUUUAUCUACUUGCAAGUAUAUGAUUUUUAUGCAGGUUAUAGGAAACAAUAAAAUCGUAAAGGCAUAAUUUGUGUAUAUUUUAGUCAUUUGAUACAUGUAUGAGUGUAAAACAAUAAAACUGUGAAGGCAUAAUUUGGGAUAUAGGUUUGUAUGAUAGUGAUUAGUUUUUCUUUCAGUAUCACUUUUCUUACUUGAGAUUAAAUGUGUAUUUCUACAUAUAGCAGCACAAUAGAUUUUUUUUUGCUCCAUGUGCUUAUGUCUAUGCAGAUAGAGAUAGCAAUUAGUGUGGUUCAAGCAUUAGGAGCAGUAUUUCAUUCUCAAAGGACUUUGUUUGAAGGUGUUCAAUGAAAAGUGAAGUCUUUCAAGUGACAAAUUUCUUUGUUAUUAGAGGCCUAUUUGGUAUUUCAUGUGUAGUUUGAUAUUGACCUUAGCUUUGUUCAACUUGUAAUACAUUUUGACAAUAUGAUUAUUUAUGAUUAUGGUAAAUGUGUAAUUUUGUCAAUUCUUAUAUAUAUAUAUAUAUUAAUUGUUGAUGUUAGUCUCCAUUUAUGAUGUACGACGUAUGCCGUAAUUGCUUUCACAGUAUUACGACACUAAACAAACGUUGUAUCAAAUAUAAAUUACGGCACACAGGUAUGCCGUAAUUGUUUUUGCAGUAUUACGACACUUCAUUAACACCGUAUCUAAUACCAAUUAAGGCGCGCAAGGCAUGCCUUAAAGAGUAUUUACAACGUGUUUUGCUUAAAUUAUUCACGGCUACUAUAGAACGUCGUAUUUGACAAAACAUCUUUUAUGACAUGGGUUUUUACUGCUUGGGGGCUCACGCUGUGAAUAAUCGUUUACGGCGCUCUUUGUGCACCACAAAAGACUAGUUAUGUUGUAGUGAUAUUAUGUAACAAAUGCUCAAUUUUCUUUUGCACUCUUUUAUGAAUUUCAUUUGGAUGGGAAUGGUUACGUGACAUUACUUGUUACACCAGAAAAUGUCUGGUUUUGGUAUAAAGACUUAACUGCAAAAAGGCAUCUGAAAGGUUUCGUUUAGCUACUAAGAAAGUUUGGGAGGGGUCAAACGUCUUAGGUUGAGAUUACAUAUACAAGGGUGUUAGAUUUACAUAAUGGGUUUACAUAAUGAGUUGUUGAUGACUACAUACACAUUGAGAAUUUAGCUUAUGUCUUUGUGUCCGAUGAGGGAGUGGUUUUUUUUUUUUUUUUUUUUUUUUUUUUUUUUUUUCGGGUGUCAUUCCAUUUUAAUCUUAGUUCCAUUCAAAUGAAGAUAUUUAAAGAACCUAACGUAAAACAUCUGUACAAGCAAAACACAUCUUAGCAACGCCAAUAAAAUUAUCUACGAGAGUUGAUCCAAUCCAGGCAAGCCGCACGGUGGGUUAUUGAGGACAAAGCUGCCGAGAUCCAUAUUAAAACUCCAAUUUGGCAACUGAUGAGCAACACAAUUCCGCUCCCUAGAUACAUGCUUCAUGCUUCAGCUCAGCUCACAUCUAACCAAUUGACUCAUCAAUGUUUUGCAUAUGCUCACAAUUGUAUCAAGAGGAUAAUAACUAUCAACCAAAUUUUGUUAGAACAAAGUGACAGCAAACACCUCUGUCAAUAAAAUCUCCUUAUCCCAAAUGGACGCAGAUUGUCUGCCCUCCUAGUUGUGGUGCCGUUCCAUGCCCUCCUAUUUUGUGCGGUUACGGUUAAACCACAUCAACAUUUUAUAUUAAUUUUUUAAUGAGAUAAUAAGACAAAAAAUAAUAAAAAUAUAAAAUAUUGACGUGGCUUAACCGUGGCUGCACAAAAUAGGAGGGCAUGGAAGGGCACCACAACUAGGAGGGCAGACAAUCCUUGUCCAUCCCAAAUUGGCUGAGAACUCUACCCACACCAAUAUUGAACCAUCAACGUCAAGCUUUCACCCAGUUCUCGACUUUUUGCGUGUUUACUACAAGUAUGGAAUCUGAAGGGCUAGUUGAUUCGUAGCUCAAUACUUGAAAAUUAGGAGUCAAAUCAAAAUGUUUAUUUUUUAUUGGUAACACAUUUGCAAAUUUGGUUUAAAAAUUAAGUUACCUGAUAUUAUCCUAAUAUAAAUAUCUUUUGACAAAUAAAAAAUGCAUACAAAGAUAAAUUUGAGUGGUGAUAUCCACACACUCAUUUUUACCUUUCACACACCUUUAUUAUUUCCCGGGCUGUUGAACAAUUGAAACAAUCAAAUAAUAUAAAUUAAUAAGUGAUGUGUGAAAAAUAGAAAUAAGCGUGUGAAGAGCCACAAAACUAAACAGAUACCCAAAAAUACCACAACACACAAAGUCAGUCGUUACAUUUCAGUUGCAAAUGAAAAUUAUGAACACUGGGAUUUGCUCUCUCUAUCGCUGAGAGAUUCUCUGUUAUUGAUGGCAAUGGCGGACAAUGGCAGUCGUCUGCAAAUGCAUAACAUCGAGGAGGAGCUUCUUCUGCUUCAGAGCAGUCAGUUUCGACGACAAGCCCGACCGCCGAAACCUCCUCCGAAACGUUUUGACCCUUCCCGUCUUUAAAAAAGGCCUCUUCACUUGCUGCAGCCCAUCCCUUGCCGGAAGCAGUAUUCUCAGGUUUAUCUCACACAAUUACGGGUUUUUCCCGUUUUCUUUUGAGUUGCACGGUCUGUUUGGUUCCCCAGAAAACGCAGGAAAUUUUUGAAAGUUUUUGAGCUUCUGUAGGGUUUACUAAAGUGAAUACUUGACUAGGUUCAGUUGGGUUGCUGAUAAAUUCAAACAACGAAAUUUAGACGCGAAUGCUUUUAAUUGAUUUGAAGAGAAGUUUCUGAGCUAGUUUAUUGCUUUUGAAUGUUCAAAUUGGAUCCUAUAAAUGUGUCUGUGUGAUAAUUAGAUGAUUUGUUGCUUGCAGUAUGGAAGCACGAGAGAAUUCCAUAUAUGUGAUGAUGCCAGUUGAUGCCUUUUGCAUUGAUGGUACAGGGCGUCCAAGGAUUAGGAAGUAAGGUCAUCUCCAACCGAAGGGUCCAGAGGGCCAGAGGGCCGAAAAUAGCCCUAAAACCGUCUCCAACCGAGGGCUAGGCCAGAGGGCUCUGGAAUCUGGGAGGGCCCCACGGGAUCGGAGAGGGCUGGAGGGCUGGCUGCUUUCGGCCAGCCAGCCAGCCCCGGGCUGGCUUAUUUUUUUUUUAAUAGUUCUACUAUUAGUGUCGGUUAUAACCGACACUAAUAGUUUGAAUGUUUUUUAAUACAACGGCUAGUAGCCGUUGUAUUAUUAGGCCUUUUUUUUUUUUUUUUUUUUUUUAACUUUUUAUUUUCCCUUUUUUUUUCCUUUUCAUAUUAAUCAAAUUUUGUUUCAUAUUUUUUUUCAAUUCUAUUUUACAAAAUUUGUUUCAAUUUUUUUUUAAAUUCUAUUUUUUUCCUAUAACUUCUAUUUUACAAAAUUUGAUUCAUAUUUUAUUUCCUAUAACUUCUAUUUUACAAAAUUUGAUUCAAAAUUUGUUGACGUCACCUAGCCGUUAGAUUUGAAUUUAAAUUGUAGUUUUUAAAUAAUAAAUUAUGUUUGGCCCUAUGGCCCUUUGGCCCUCGGUUGGAGACGGUUUUUUGUGACAGGGCUAAAACGAGCCCUCUGGCCCUCUGGCCCUCGGUUGGAGACGGAGGCAAAUAUGGCCAUGUACUGUUUAUUAAAAUAUUAAUAUCUUGGAGAAUCUUGGAGGGCCAGAGGGCUAAAACGAGCCCUCUGGCCAGUCAUCGGUUGGAGAUGGCCUAAGUUUUAUUAUGACUUUAUGUUGAUGAGGCUAUGAUGCAUUUUCAUUCUUAAUUUAAUUGUUGUACUCUUUUAAACGACAGAAUAUGAUUAGCUACAAGGUUGCAGCUAACUAUUUUGAUCUGUUCCCAAUUCAAGUUAUGUACGCGUACAUUUCAAAAUGGUUCUAAAUAAAAUUUAUUUUUAAUUUAGUUUCCUUUCAAGUGAGACAGAAUCUCCUUAUAUAUUGCACGAUUUAUUGUUGUUUCAGAAUCAAGGCCUUAACUGUAGCUCUGAAAGCACUCAAGUUGGCUGGUGUCCACGGAAUUGCAGUUGAGGUUUGGUGGCCUCUUGCAUAUGAUUGGUCUCUAUAUGAAGGGCUUUUCAAACUGAUUUCUGACUCAGGUUUGAAGUUGCAUGUUGCCUUGUCUUUUCACUCAAACGUUAACUCUUCUUCUAGCAGAAAAGGGGGUGUAACUCUUCCGCUUUGGAUCAUAGAGGUUUGUUUUCUCGGCAAUUUUGAAAUCCCAUUUGACUGUUUGGCCUUUUAUUGGUAAAAGUGCACAUGGCUGUACUGGAAUGAUUAAUUUACCCAGUCAUACUCUUUUGUGACAACAUAAGAAACAUAACCCAUUUGGAUGACUAGAGAUAGUAUCAACUUUUCUUCAGUUUCCUGCUCUGCAACAUGCUAUGGUCCUGUGUUCCCCAUUAGCAUACUUGAUUUUAGCUUUGAUGUGCAUAAAAAGUUUAUCUUUGCAAAGGGAUGUAACAGAAAAAUGAUAGUUUGGCCUUCAUUACAUGCCCAUCAGUUUGAAUCCUGAAUUUAGAUAAAGAAGUUGACCUCUUCUGUUUUUUUUUUCCUCCCAGAUUGGUGAUCAGAAUAAGCAUAUAUAUUAUCGGGACCAAAAUGGAUUUUCCAAUGAUGAUUAUCUUACACUUGGAGUUGACCAUGUUCCUCUCUUUUGCGGCCGGACUGCUCUCCAAUGUUAUGAAGAUUUCUUGUCAGGUUUUGCUAAGAAAUUUGAAUCCUUAAUUGGAACUGUGAUAGAAGAAAUUGGUGUUGGUCUUGGAUGUUACUGUUACACUAGAACCACAAGUAUGAAGCCAGUCCAAUGAUUUCUUAUGCAACAUUGUUACAUUGCUCACACUGAUAUCCUGCACAUCCUUUUGGUGAUGGUAGAUGGAAGUUUCCUGGAAUCGGUGAAUUCUAAUGCUAUGACAAGCGCAUGUAUGCUAAAAAUCUUUCAUUCCUGUGACAGAAAUUUGGUUGCUAUUGAACUUUUCCUAUUUACAACGUUGUUCCUUUUAGGAUGGGCGACCUAAAGAUGGCUGUAGGCAAGGAAGGAAAGCCUCAGUGGGGAGGGAAGGGACCACAAAAUGCUGGCUGUUACAACAGUCUCCCAUCUGAAGUUCCAUUCUUUGAAGAGGGAGAGGAAAGCAUUCUUUCUGAUUAUGGGUGUUUUUUCCUUGUAUGAAACUGAUGGAAGCAUCUUGCUUUAUUAUUUCCCAUGAAAAAUUUCUGCAUAACUGAAGCCUAGUGUAAAUUGCAUGAAAUCAUUGUUUGUAUUUCAUCCUCGAACUACCACAUUGUUUCUUUAGCCAGGAAACACUUCUGUGUACGUGCCUGUAAACAACAUGGGCCUGCAAUAUAUAUUUUCAAUCUUUAGUGGAACUUUUCUUAUAACUAACUCUAUUUGCUUCUAGGGGUUAUACUUGCAGACUGUUUGCUACUGGAGUCUUAAAUACUCUUACGCAACAUGAUUAAAAGUAGAUGCAAUUUGAUUAAGAAUGAAAUGCAUUGAUGCUUGUCUUCUGGAAAGAAAAAAAAAUCAUCAUAGGAUGUACUGGUUAGUAAACUAAGGACAAUUAUGGAUGUAUAAGUGGAAAUUUAAAUCAUGUAUGGUUCUUUAUCAUGCAAUACUUGGCAUAACAUAAUUAAACUUAUUGGAAAACAAUGUGGAGCUUAGGAGAUCUGACAGUGGCUUGACUUGUUGUAGGAAUGGUACAGUGGUCGGUUGCUCCAUCAUGCAGAUGAUAUUCUUGCAAAGGCAGCUAACAUUCUGAAGAAAUAUCAAGAAUAGAAGCAAACUUCUAUUCUAUUGGCAGCUAAAAUUGGUGGUACCAGAUGAGAGCACAGCCUGCUGAAUUGACAGCUUGAAACUACAGCAGUGCUCUUAAAGAUGGUUAUGAUCAUGUUGCUUCAAUUUUGUCUCGUCAUGGAGCUGCUUUGCAUGUUUCGUAAGAUUCCAAGUUUUAAGGUUCUGACUAGAAUUUUGUUCAUUGUCUAACCUGAUAAUUAGGGUUGCUUACACAUUCGCUUGAUUUCAAAUGUAUCUAUCUACCAUGUUCACGUACUAAAUAUUUUAUUGCAGCAGCUUAGAAAUGAUGGAUGGUGAUAACCCGGCAUCCUAUCUUUGCAGUCCAGAAGGAUUACUCCAACAGGUACGGGGCCUGUUAAUUAAUAACACUUCCUUAGCUUGUGCUUUGUUGGUACUUUUUUUAACUUACUUUAGAAAUUUUAUCUGUAUAAUUCAAGCUUUUAAGUUAGGUAGGACUAACCCAUGUAGCUGUGCUUGUCACAGCAGGUCGUGCAGGGUCUCUAGGUUCAACAUGGGCUUGGAACGGGCCAAUAUGAGCUUUUUCAGUAUUACAGAUAUUAGGUAUUGUUGAUAUGUUUUUUAGGCUUCUUUUAGUGUCUUAUAAUUCAUUCUGAAGUAAAUCUUUAGUUUUAAUUGGGUUGUCUUGCCCAGAUAAUAAAGAAGAAACAUAUGACAAGUUGAUCAAUAACCAUUUUUCUGUUUUAUUGAAGUUUGGAAUAUAAUUGAUAAUUUGAUAUUACUAAACAACAAAAAUAGAAUUGCAUCACUAUACCGUAUAUUAGUGUCGUACUACUUUAGAUUGGCAUGGUCUGUCCAUUUACACUGGUGGGUGGUGGUAGUGCCUAGUGGUGGCUUCUGUUGUCUAGAAUUCUAUCGGUCAUUUGGUUUCUUCGAUAAAAUGUCUGACCUUAUGCUUUGUUUAUUGGGUAUAUAUCAUAUUAUACAAUUCCAAUGUAGUCUAACAUGAUUCGAUUUGCACCAGAUAUGGAGUGUUUCAAAGAAAUGGGCACAUUUGAUCGGGAGAAAUACCAAUGAAGGAUUUGACAGGGUCAGUUCUUCCUUUGCUCAAGAACAAAAGCAAAUUUCAGCUACCAUUUAUUUCUAUUAGACAUAUAUUGGAGACUUGGGAGCAGCCUCUCCAUAAAUGGAGAUAAGGUUAGCCGACAUUCACCUCUCCCAGACCCUGCGUAAAGCGGGAGCCUUGUGCACUGGGUACGACCUUAGACAUAUAUUGGAUAUUGCAAAUGUCUUAUAACUAGAAACACAUGGCUUCUGAUAGCGUUAGUUAAACACUUCUUCUUUUGCCCAUUCUGUGUUGCGCGUUCACGCGUCUGCUUUUCUCUUGCACGUUGGUUUAUGGCAAAUACAUACUAACUAUUACCAUUCCCAGGCCGAAGCUGUAAGAUCAUUUACAUAUUUCAGAAUGAAUGAUAAGAUCUUUAGGGCUGAAAAUUGGAGUAAUUUCCUUCCUUUUGUUAAAAAGAUGAGCACAAAUUGGUGAAGCAACCAAAAAACCCAACUUAAAUACUAAAUUUAUUGAUCUAGAGUAGCAGCCUCACUACCCUAUAAUUUUUUGUCAAGGGCAUGUGUAGAAGUUAAGAAGUUUGUCACUUCCUGAUAUAUUGACUGAAAUAACUUUGUGUUUCCAUGGCAGGCGUUCUUGACCUGGAAGUGUAAAUUUUUGAAACGGAUUUGGUUGGCCGUAGAAACUAAAUGCUUUACUAUCAAAAUACGAGAAGAAUAAUUGGAAUUGCAAUCUUGGUACUACUGGUCACAUUGCCUAGUCAAAUACAGGUACAACAUUUCAAUUUAAGGAAUAUACACAUACUGUCAUAUCCGUCACUAUACGAAAAUAAUGUAGUCUUUGCAGAUCGAAAACAACAAUAAGAAAAUGGAUCCGAAAAUAUAGAGAACAAAAAGAACUAAGAGUUCACUCCUUCACAGUCCUUCAAAUACUUAGUCUUGAUUUUGGUGAGUGUGAUUGCAGCAUCUUCUUCACAGUCCUUCAAAAACUUAGUCUUGAUUUUGGUGAGUGUGAUUGCAGCAUCUUUCAUGUUAAUCCUCUCUCCCGGCAAUGCUGCAGUACAAGCUAAAGCUAAUCUCAUAACGGAUGAUAAGCAAUCCCUCUUGCUCACAAAAUCACCAUCUUCCUCCGCCCCAAGUAUAUCGGCAUCCACAACUUCACCUAUUGCAGCAUCUGGAAAUAAUGAAUCUGCAAUCCAUUGCUUUAAAUUCAUUUCCCCAACAAACAUCUCAUCCGUUGGCUUCCUUUUUGUGAAUGUCUCCAUGAGUACAAUACCAAAACUAUACACAUCCCCUCUUGUCGAAACGCUUCCUUCCAUCCCAAACUCUGCAAAAUUUGUAUGUGAAUUUAGUUAUAUAUGAUAAAAAGAAAAUUAUAACUCCUAAUAAGACCAACAUAUACAAAAUUGAGAAAAUACAUCACCUGGAGCCAUAUAUCCAACUGUGGCUAGGGUCAUGGUUUCUGUCAUCGAAUGUCCACCGCCGAUGAGUCUUGCAAUGCCAAAAUCAGCAACAUGUGCAACCAUAUCAUCAUCUAGUAGUAUAUUGCUUGGUUUCACAUCACAAUGAACAAUAGGUACCGAGUAACCAUGAUGAAGAUAUUCCAGUGCCAAUGCAACAUCUUUCAUUACGUCCAGCCUCUGCAGGAUAUUCAUGGAGCUGUUUGGAGAAUACAACCAGUUUUCGAGGCUUCCAUUAGGCAUCAAUUGAAGUAUCAGGGCUUUGAAAUCAAGUUCAUCGCAGCAACUUAUGAUUUUAAUAAGAUUCCGGUGACGGAUAUUGCUUAGCAUUUCACAUUCCCUAUCAAAACUUUUGAAUGCCCCUUCUACCUGUAAAUUGAAAACCUUGACGGCAAUGUCUAUCCCGUAUGAAAGUGUUCCUCUGUAUACUGAGCCAAAACCCCCCGUGCCUAGUAAGUUACUCUCGUGAAAUCCAUUUGUCGCAUUUACAAGUUCUAGGCGCGAAACUCUUCUCCAAAGAACUUGAUGUAGCGAGGCAGUUUCUCUUACAACUUCGACAUUCCUUUUGUUGCAUAGUAUCAGAAUCAAUGCAGCGGCCGCUAGGAGUAUUACUGGUAUGACCCCUGAGAUGAUAUAUUUAGCUUUCCUCCAAUUUGGCUUAACUUUUGUUCUAUUUUUGCACAGGGGAACAUGGAGUCGGGAAGCACCGCAGAGCGCACCGUUGGAUACAAAUGAAUCGGCAGAGAAGUUUCCGAAAGGCCCGCCGGUUGGAAUUUCUCCUUGGAGUUUGUUGAAAGACAAAUUCAGAUGCUUGAGAUACAAGAGUGCUUCCAAUGACUUUGGGAUCUCUCCAGAUAGAUUAUUUUGGGACAAAUCCAAGAAUUCUAGGCUUAGCAAGGUUUUAAAUGAACUGGGAAUAGGGCCUUGUAAAUAAUUGUUUGCCAAGGACAAAUUAAUCAUAUUUUGAAGACCACCAAUGCUACCGGGAAUGUUUCCGGAGAAGUGGUUAUUUGAUAAAUCUAUAUCCACCACUUCUUUCAACUUUCCGAUGUCUUCUGAGAGUGGUCCAACUAGAGAAUUGGAUGACAAGUUUAGGUGCAAUACAUACUUGAGUUCCCACAAGGAAGAUGGUAUUUUUGAAGUUAACAAAUUGGACUCUAACGAUAGAUUUCUUAGAGCUACUGCCAAACCACCCAAGCAGGAAGGAAUAGAACCAGAGAGCCGAUUAUGACCCAAACCUAACUCGGCUAGGUUGGUUAGUUGACAGAGUUCAUACGGGAUAUGUCCUUGCAGUUUGUUAUCAUACAGAAACAAACCUUGGAGAUUUUUUAGCCUCUGUAUUGAUGUUGGAAUUGCUCCACUCAACUGAUUGAUUUCCAGAUGUAGUUCUAUCAAGCUGCUCAAGUUGGCAAUAUCAACGGGAAUGUUACCCCUGAUGUUGGAAAUGCUUAAAUCAAAAUAUGUGAGUGGCGUAGAGAGAUUCCCACGAAAAGCUGGAAUCGUGGUGUUUAAUGGAUUACCUCCCAAGUCUAAUUUUGUCAAAUUUCUAAGAUUAAACAAGCAAGAGAGAGUAGAAGCAUCAAUCGUCAAAUGAUUCCAGAACAAGAAAAGAAGCUCGAGGUUUUUCAAGGAACAGAGCGUGCUAGGAAGAAACCCGGUAAAUGAGUUUGUGUCCAUGGCUAGGACCCUGAGCUUGGAAGCAUUGGAGAAGUUAGGGAGUGUCCCGGCCACGAGGUUAUUGGAGGAUACAGAAAAGAAUUCUAGGUUUGGAACAUUAAGACCUAUGUUUGCUGGGAGGCCACCUGAGAGCUGAUUUAAAGUAAGCGAUAUUACUCUAAUCAUGGAGUUAUUGAAGAGCUUGGAUGGGAUGACACCAUUGAGAUUAUUAGCACCCAAUCUCAAAACCUCUAACUGCGGAAGAUCACCAAUCUCAUCCGGUAUUGUACCUAUCACAAUGUCAGCACGUUUGCAUUAACUUUGUAACUUCGGUUUAUCUAAAAACUAAAAACGAAAUGAUUGUAAAACGCCCCCAAAUUUAUUACCUGUUAAAUUAUUGAAACGAAGAAAAAUCUCGGUUAAGUAGGUCAAAUUGCCAAGACUUUUGGGUAUGCUCCCACGGAAAUUGUUAGACUCUAAUGCAAUUACACGAAGCUCUUUGCAUUGCCACAGUUUGGAGGGAAUCAGACCGUCAAACUGGUUUUGAUUCAAAGAAAAUCGUUGAAUACUCGAAAGAUGCUCACACAUAUUGUCCGGAAGAAUACCACUCAUGUUGUUUCCGGAUAAAGCCAAAGUAGUCAAAGAAGAUAUGUUAAGGACAGGCACAAAAGCAGAGCCUUUAGGGCAUUGUCCUGCACAAACAACUCCUCCAACUGACCUAAACUGCCUAUCUCGUUCGGAAGUUCUAUAAAAUCAAUCCGUGUAUAUUGUUAAAAUCAUGUAUACAUAUAUAGGAGCAGCUUCUUAUUGGGAAUCCCGUUGUACCAUAGCAAAAGUGGGAUACAUUCUAAGGACCAUGUACUCACCAUAUAGGACCUCUUUUUUGCUCUAGAAUACGAGGGUCUUACACGGUCAAUAUACGAUCCUACAAUAGUCCUCUCAUCUCAUUUUUUGCCGAAGUUGAACAAGAUCCCAGCUAAGAAGGGGCUUGUGUUUAUGUGUGUGUGUGUGUGUUUGUAUAUAUAUGUAACAAAACCUCAGUCAUACAGUAUACCUUCGAACUUGUUGUCGUCAAGGUAUAUGCCCUUCACCAUUGUUAAGUUGCCUAUUUCUCUGGGUAUACUACCUGUUAAAUAUGUGCAUGCAUUCCAACAAAAAAGAAGGAAAAAAAAAAACAAACGAGAUGAUUGUUAUACAUCUUAUAUAUAGAGGUUAAAAUGAAACAAAGAUGUUAAAAUGUAAUGAUGAAGCAAGCAACAUUAAUUUAUAUUCCUAGGUAGUUGGUAAUGGUGGUAUGUACGUACCCGAUAGUUGGUUCCUCAUCAGGUAAAUGUUUUCGAGUGCAGAUAAGUUGAAGAUAGCAGCGGGUAUGAAACCAGAGAAGUCAUUAUCGUACAAUUUGAUGGUUUGAAGUUUAGCAAAGGACCCAAACCACAAAGGAAUGGUUCCCAUAAAGCUGUUGUUUCCAAAGUUAAUCGCCUUCAACCGGCGCAAACGAGACAGUUCUUGCGGUAGGGGACCAUGAAAACUAUUAUUCUGAAGGCCCAACUCAACGAGAAAUGAGAGGUUGCCAAGAUGCGGAGGAAUAACUCCGGCAAGACCCAUGUAAGGGAGAUUUAAGGCCGUGACUCUGUGGUGGCGAGCACCGCAGGUAACGCCAACCCAGUUGCAAAUGUUGGAAUUGGAGGCAGAGGACCAGUUGGCGGUCAAGAUGUUUUGAGGGUCACUAGUGAUGUGAGCCUUGAGAGCAAGAAGCGCAGAUUGAUCUGUGCUGAAAUUGGUAUGAGCUAUUGCUAAUGCUCCUGCAGUUAAGUAAUUAGCCACAAUCAUCAUAUAGAUAUAACACAAGCAUUGUAUCAUCGACAACAUCUUUGAUAGUAGGAAACGACUUCUCUCCUUAAUUGUAGUAGUUUUCGUCUUUCGGUAUAAAUUCGAUCGAAAACUAGAACUCAUUACAUUCACAUAAAUAGGGAAACAAGUUGGUGUUACCAAGACUUGUGAACGACUUUUGUACUGGUUUGAUACUGAGGUGCUUUUAUAAAAAAUGGGUAUAAAAAAAAAAGAUGAGCUCAAAAAGGUGUUUGGUAAACACUUAAAAACAGUUUAUUUUCACAGUUUUGGGUGAAAAAAAAUUAAAAGCGUGAAGCAGCAAAAAUAAGCUUAUUCUCACAGCACAACAUAAACAGUUUUUUUUUUCAAAGCACAGCAAUACCAAACCAGCCCUUAGACUUGCCCGGCUUCUAUGUCAAGGUGAGGAGACUUUAGAUUUUUUAACAUAUCAAACACACACCAUUCAUUUUUUGCUGAUGGCGUAGGUAGGUGAGGAGGAAUGGUGACUGCGAUGUAAGAGAGAUUCAAGGCCACGACUUGAAUGUGGCAUACCAACCCAGUUGCAACUUUCAAGUGAGCAAUCAAUGCUAAGGAUGUUUUGGUCUGUGGUGGUGAUAUUUGGUAAUUCGCUGAUAGGUUAGCUAGGUGAGGAGGUCUAGUCUAAGUCCGACUUUUUUGUCGAAGUGAGGACUUAGAAUAGUGGAACGAAGGCUUGUGAUUUGGUAAUUGGUGCUGCCAGCCGACGAGUUCUGUCCAUUUUGUGGGCAUAGCUGGAGAUGCCCAAAUGUGGAAUUUUAGUCUUCAGUUCACCAUCAAAACAAACAAUACCAUAAAUUUCAAGAUUGAUAUUUAAUGAUGACAUACAUUUUGAUUCAAAUGCAAAUGCAAAUGCGACCAAACACAUGACAGUUACAUUCUUCCGGAUGAAAUGUUUUCGACGACGUUUACAUAUAAUCAAGCUCUAGUUGAACACUCUUCGGAUUCGAAAAUCAUCUAAACUUGGCUAAUUAGUCAAGAAUUACGGUCUUAUGCUUCUAAAUUAUUAAUCACGAUCGCAUGUAUAAAUUCAUUGCAGCAAUAACGAAGAAGGGAAGUAACAACCAGAGAUUGAAAACUAGUUCAGAUACGUACAUUCACUAUCAUGCAGACUUGCCAUUGGAGACAGCUCUGAAUAUGCAAAGGUUUUUUAUAGGAAAAAUUAGUAUCCGGUCCCUAGUUCUUACUGUUCAUUGAUUAAGACCUUAUUAGUUCUCAAAUUUUGAUUCAAGUCCCUAGCAAUAAUGUGAUAAUGAAUUUACAUGUUUAUUAUAUAAUUUUUUAAUAUAAAAAUUAGUAAUUAAUUUAGGGUUUAAUACUCACACCUCUAUUAAACUUCUAAUUAAUUUUCAAUUCAAACAUUUCCAAAAUAAUAAAAAAUUAAAUUAAAUUAAGUUUGUACCUAUUACUUUAUAUAUAUAUAUAUAUAUAUAUAUAUAAAGAUUCUCAAUUUUUUAAUCUUAAAUGUACCCAUUCAUAUAAUUUUUCAAUUUUUUUAAUCUUAAAUGUACCCAUUCUCAAAUACAUCAAUUUGUUAUAUGUAAAAUGUACCCUUUUUUUUAAUAUAAAAUCCAUUCAAAUUUUUUAAUCCAUGUUUAAACUUAUAUGGGUACAUUCUUUUUCGUUGAUUUGAGAAUGUAUCCAUGUUUUGAUACAAUAACUUUUUUUGUUAAUUUUGGUUAAUGUACCCAUACAUAUAUGUACACACACAAUAUAAUAGAGGGUAUAAUUUAUAUUUUAUUAUUUUUAAUCCCAUAAAUUAUGGGUUUUAUUUAAAAUCUCAUUAAUAUAAACAAUUACAAAUUUCAAUUUUUAAUUUUUAAUUUAAAACAUAUAGUAACUUACAUUAUUAUAUUAAUGUCAGGACCUCAAUCAAAAACUAAAAACUAACAAGGUUUCAAUUAAAAAAUAUUGAUAGCUAGGGAACGCAUCCAAAGUGUCCAUUUUUUAUAUGACUUCAACAAGAGAGGACAUACCAUGCUUAGAGAUGAAGCAGGCCUGCACCUGCAAGCCACGGUGGUAAUCGAAUUCCAGUGAAAGGGAACAAAACUCCAGCCGCCACCGGCAUGCUGAGGAUAUUGUAGCCCAGGGCCCAGACAUAAUUCAAUCGAAUUUGAGACAUGGUCUUUCUAGAGAGAUCAAUGGCUGUAACUACAUCUUCCAAGUUGCUCUUCCUCAGAACUAUAAGCAGCUUCUAUAACUACGUCGGUGCCCGCACCAAUUGCCAUACCAACAUGUCCUGCAACCAUUGCCGGAGAGUCAUUAAUUCAAUCUCCCAUCAUUGCCACCACCAUUCCUUUCAUCUGCAUCCAAAUCCACUUUAACAAGUCAGAAAACACUAUGUAAGAUAGAUAACUCACAUAUCAAGUCAGAAACAAACUUAAUAUAGAAAAAUGAGUUUGAAGAUUGUUUGCAAGGUUUAGCAAGGUUUUAAAUGAAAUAGGAAUAGGGCCUUCUAAAUGAUUGUUUGCCAAGGAGAAAUCAAUCAUAUUCUGAAGACCCCCAAUGCCACCGGGAAUGCUUCCGGAGAAAUGGUUAUUUGAUAAAUCCAUAUCCACCACAUCCUUCAACUUUCCGAUGUCUUCUGAGAGUGGUCCAACCAGAGAAUUGGAUGACAAGUUUAGGUGCAAUAUAUACUUGAGUUCCCACAAGGAAGAUGGUAUUUUAGAAGUUAACAAAUUGGACCCUAACGGUAGAAAUCUUAGAGCUACUGCCGAAGUACCCAAGCAGGAAGGAAUAGAACCAGAGAGCCGAUUACCAUCCAAACGUAACUCGGCUAGGUUGUUUAGUUGACAGAGUUCAUACGGGAUAUGUCCUCCCAGUUCGUUAUCAUACAAAUACAAACCUUGGAGAUUUUUUAGCCUUUGUAUUGAAGUUGGAAUUGCUCCACUCAACUGAUUGUUUCCCAGGCUUAAUGAUAUCAAGCUGCUCAAGUUGCCAAUAUCAACUGGAAUGUUACCCCUGAUGUUCGAAUUUCUUAAAUUAACAUAUAGGAGUGACGUAGAGAGAUUCCCACGAGAAGCUGGAAUCAUGGUGUUUAGUGGAUUUCCUGCCAAGUAUAAUCUUGUCAAAUUUCUAAGAUUAAACAAGCAAGAGAGAGUGCUUGCUGCUUAUGGAGUAGAAGCAUGAAUUGUCAAAUUAUUCGAGUGCAGGUUUUUCAGGGAACAUAGCGUGGUAGGAAGAAUCCCGGUAAAUGAGUUUGUGUUCAUGUCUAGCUUCCAGAGCUUGGAAGCAUUGGAGAGGUUAGGGAGUAUUCCAGCCACGAGGUUACUUCUGGCUACAUAAAGGAUUUCUAGGUUUGGACCGUUAAGAGUCUUAACUUAAGACCGCUGUUUGCUGGGAGGCUACUUGAGAGCUGAUUGAAAGAACGCCCUAUUUCUCUUAUCAUGCAGAGAUUGAAGAGUUUGGAUGGGAUGACGCCACUGAGAUUAUUAAUAACAAGUCCCAAAAUCUCUAACUACGGAAGAUUACCAAUAUCAUCCGGUAUUGUAUCUGUUAUAAUUUCAGCACAUUUGCAUUAAAUUUUUAACUUCAAUUUAACUAAAAACUAAAAGCGAAAUGAUUAUCAAACAAUCCUAAAUUUACUACCUAUUAAAUUAUUGUCAUUAAGAUAAAUCUUGGUUAAGUAGGUCAAAUUGCCAAGACUUUUGGGUAUGCUUCCAAGGAAAUUGUUAGACCCUAAUAAGAUUUCACAAAGCUCUUUGCAUUGCCACAGUUUGGAGGGAAUAAGACCGUCAAACUGGUUUCGACCCAAAUUAAAUCGUCGAAUACUCAGAAGAUGCUCACAUAUAUUUUUCGGAAGACUGCCACUAAUAUUGUUUCCAUAUGGAGCCAAAGUAGUCAAAGAAGAUAUGUUGAGGACAGGCACAAUAGCAGAGCCUUUUAGGGCAUUGGACUGCGCAUACAACUCCUCCAGCUGAUCUAAACUACCCAUCUCGUUUGGAAAUUCUAUAAAUCAAUCAGUAUAUAUUGUUAAAAUCAUGUAAACAUAUAUAGGAGUUGCUUCUUAUUAGGAAUCCUGUUCUACCGUAGCAAAAGUGGGAUAAUAUUAUAAGGACCAUGUACAACUAUAUAGGUUCUCUUUUUGCUCCAGCAUACGAGGGUCUUACAUAGUAAAUAUACGAUCCCUAUGAUAGUCCUCUUAUUGUAUUUUUGCUAAAGUGGAACGAGAUUCCUGCUAAGAAGGGGCUCGUAUCUAAACUACUUACUACCUCAAUCAAAACUACAUGAAAUUACAAUUUUAACACCCAAACCAAAACUGCACAAAAAUAAAAAAAACUAUGGGUAAUUUAGUAAGGGCUGUGCUAUCCACACACCCCAUUUUACUUCUCACACACCCCUUGAUAAUUUAUGUAUGUUGAUAUUCUUCAAUUGAUUCGAUCCGACGGCCGAAAAUUAAAAAGGUUUGUGAGAAGUAAAAUGGGAUGUGUGCAUAUCACACCCCUUUAGUAAUUACAUGAACAUAACUUUUGUUGUUAUUUAGGGCAACCUCACAGCUAGGUCACCAUAGCAUGCCAUAUUUAAAAAUUAAAAAUAAAAUAAAAUAGUAAAUAAAAAACAUGCCUACUUUAGAAGAAACUGCUCAUCAUUUUCCCAAUUUUUAUAAGGGGUGUGCUAUCCACACAUUUUUUUACUUCUUACACAUUCCUUGUUAAUUUAUGUCCGUUGAUCUUCUUCAUUUUAUCCGAUACUACGGCUGAAGAUUAGAAGGGUGUGUGAAAAGUAAAAAGGGUGUGUGGAUAUCACACCCCUUUUUUUAUAAUUGAUUUAUUGUUUUAGAAUUUUAAAAACUAAUCACACUACUUAGUAAAAAAAACAAAAUGAAAUGAAAUUAUACAAAACCUAAGUCAUACAGUAUACCUUCGAACUUCUUGUCGUCAAGGUUUAUGCAAUUCACCAUUGUUAAGUUGCCUAUUUCUCUGGGUAUGCUACCUGUUAAAUAUGUGCAUGGAUUCCAACAAAAAAGAAGGCAAAAAAAACGAAGGAGAUGAUUGUUAUACAUCUUAUAUAUAGAUGUUAAAAUGUAAUCAUGAAGCAAGCAACAUUAAUUUAUAUUCCUAGCUGUUGGUAAUGGUGGUACGUACGUACCUGAUAGUUGGUUCGUGCUCAAACUAAUCAUUUCGAGUGCAGAUAAGUUGAAGAUAGCAGCGGGUAUGAAACCAGAGAAGCCAUUACCGUACAAUUUGAUGGUUUGAAGUUUAGGAAAGGACCCAAAUCACGAAGGAAUGGUUCCCAUAAAGCUGUUGUUUCCAAAGUUAAUUGCCUUCAACCGGCGCAAACGAGACAGUUCUUGCGGUAGGGAACCAUGAAAGCUAUUAUUCUUAAGGCCUAACUCAACGAGAAAUGAGUGGUUGCCUAGAUGCGGAGGAAUAACUCCGGCAAGACCCAUGUGCGAGAGAUUUAAGGCCGUUACUCUGUGGUGGCGAGCACCGCAGCUAACGCCAACCCAGUUGCAAAUGUCGGAAUUGAAGGCAAACGACCAGUUGGCGGUCAAGAUGUUUUGAGGGUCACUAGUGAUGUGAGCCUUGAGAGCAAGAAGCACAGACUGAUCUGUGCUGAAAUUGGUAUGAGAUAUUGCUAAUGCACCUGCAGUUAAGUAAUUAGCCAUAAUCAUCAUAUAGAUAUAACAUAAACAGUGUAUCAUCGACAACAUUUUUGAUGGUAGGAACCGACUUCUCUCCUUAAUUGUAGUAGUUUUCGUCUUUCGGUUUAAAUUCGAUCGAAAACUAGAGCUCAUUACAUUCACAUAAAUAGGGAAACGAGUUGGUGUUACCAAGACUUGUGAACGACAUAGACUUGCCCGGCGUCUAUGUCAAGGUGAGGAGACUUAGACUAGUCGAACGAAGACGAGUGGCAAGGAACACCUACCAUUCAUUUUUUGGAUUUUUUAACAUAUCAAACACACACCAUUCAUUUUUUACUGAUAGCUUGAAGGUGGCGUACGCCGUAAGCAACACCUACCAAUUGCAACUUGGAAGUGAGCAACGAGUGGUAAGGAUGUUUUGGUCUGUGGUGGUGAUAUUUGGUAAUUGGUGCUGCUAGCCGACGAGUUCUGUCCAUUUUGUGGUCACGGCUGGAGAUGCCCAAAUGUGGAAUUUUAGUCUUCAGUUCACCAUCAAAACAAACAACACCAUAAAUUUCAAGAUUGAUAUUUAAUGAUGACAUACAUUUUGAUUCAAAUGCAAAUGCAAAUGCGACCAAACACAUAACAGUUACAUUCUUCCGGAUGAAAUAUCUUUGCCGACAUUUACAUAUAAUCAAGCUCUAGUUGAACACUCUUCGGAUUCGAAAAUCAUCUAAACUUGGCUAAUCAGUUUUUUCUGAACAGAACAAACCAAAGAUGAUACGCAAACGGUCCAAGAAUUACGGUCUUAUGCUUCUAAAUUAUUAAUCAUGAUCGCAUGCAGACUUGCUAUUGGAGACGCUCUGAAUAUGCAAAGGCUUCUUAUAUGACUGCAACAAGAGAGAACAUACCACGCUUAGAGAUGAAGCAGGCAUGCACCUGCAAGCCAUGGUGGUAAUCGAAUUCCAGUGAAAGGGAACAAAACUCCAGCCGCCACCGGCAUGCUGAGGAUAUUGUAGCCCAGGGCGACAUAAUUCAAUCGAAUUCGAGACAUGGUCUUUCUAGAGAGAUCAAUGGCUGUAACUACAUCUUCCAAGUUGCUCUUCCUCAGAACUAUAAGCAGCUUAUAUAGCUAUGUCGGUGCCAGCACCAAUUGCCAUGCCAACAUCUCCUGCAACCAUAGCCGGAGGGUCAUUAAUUCCAUCUCCCAUCAUUGCCACCGCCAUUCCUUUCAUCUGCAUCCAAAUCGACUUUAACAAGUCAGAAAACACUAUGUUAGAUAACUCACAUAUCAAGUCAGAUACAAACUUAAUAUAGAAAAAUGUGUUUGAAGAUUUCUAUAAGACAUUAUUUUACCCUAGAUAAGUCAUUUGAAAUAUAAUUUAGUAAUCCUCAAUCUGCGUUCAAAACCAGAACAAAAUUACUUGUGGAGCUGGGUAAUUGUAAUCCACUCACACCACCCCUGUAACUAUUAUAUAAUCGUAACUGUAAUUCUUUGAUUCUAUCAGCUUUUCAUAGUGGAUCCGUCUCAGCACACCUUAUCAAUGCCAACCUCCAUCGCACUGGCUGCCGCUGUAGCCCAGUUAUCACCAGUAACCAUGAUGCUUGUAAUGUUUAUCGAGUGAAGAUAAGAGAUGACUCGUGCAGCCUCUGGCUUCACUGGGUCAGUUACAGCAAAAGACCCAGCAAUCUUUCCAUCAAUGGACACCAACACACACCUUCGAGCCAGAUUAUCAUGUUCUGAAACAUACUUGUCAACCUCAGGACCAACCUGGACAUUAUUUUCCCGCAUGAGCCUCAGCAAUCACCAUUUACCUACAUAUUUCUCAAAUAGAGGCAUGUUAGCAUGAUUGACAAAAUAAUAACAAUAAGUUGUCUCAUCUGUAACUUUACAAACUUCAAACUUUUCAUGAACAAAUUUGAAACAUAAGCACCAACCUCUGUGACAAUAGACACAGCACAGAACUCCUCCAUUGAGUAAUUGGAGAAGAGCACAGCAUUGACUACUACGGGUUUCCCAACUGUCUCUCUGGUUGAGGCUGCAUUCAUUUUGACACAUGGGAAGGGCUUACUCUCCUAGUGGCUCGGCUUGGUCUCGCUCCCUUCCCGCACUAUUCCUCCCCACUAAAAAGAUUUGAUAAUCUCAAUAACGUUCAGAAAGGUUAUUGAGAUAAAUCGAUGAAAUCUUUCAAGCCAGCAUGGGGCAAAAGCUAUCAAAACGGGUGAUUGGGGAAGGAGAGAUAGGUCCAUUCACGAACACUAUUGGUCCCUGUUUCAUAAAAAAACAACCGUUUUCACUGGCAGGGAUCAAACACGUCCGUAAACAUCCAGACACCAACAAGGUGUCAAAUACUAAGAAACGUAUCAACCUUCAUGAAUUAGGUACCGUCUGUUCAGCUUUUAAUUUUGGAAAGAACAAAAACCCCAAAAAGGACGAAACAAUUAUUAGCCUUGUUAUAAAAAAGGGAGUUGGGGUAAAGAGAACUCUCCUUCAAUGAGAGCUGUCAUCUACAAGAAAUGGGGAUAUAAAACUUGGCGAGUACGGCUUGGUGACAUGGACAAGGUGCAUACAGCCAUCAAUCGUCCAGAACCAAAGGGUCAUAUGAGACAGAUUCCAACUAUGAAAUAAUAGUUGCAUGUUCAAUCCCAAUAUAUGCAGGAAGAACAUCCUCCAUACCCAAUGACAUAGAUUGCAUUUAGUUUUAUGUCACGAGCCUAAACGUUGAUCGAACCAAGGCAGAGCGUUUAACUGGUCAGGAAUGAAGUCCAUAACUUGUUCUCAUACGGAACACUAACAUAAUGUAGGGUGGUAGUAUAGGGGAUAGUAUGAAAUGACCAGAACAAUAUGAGGAGAGCAACUUCAUAAUGGAGGAAUGACGAGAAAAAAAAAACUACACUUGCACCCUCAAGACAUAUAGAGAAUGUAUCUAAUCAGAAAUUGGUUUUUCCUAAACCACAACAAACAGGUUUUCGACGUCCUCAAAGGAAAUGUAGGAACAAGUAUAAUGAAGCAACUAAACACACCAGCAAAAACAACAUGAAAAUAAAAUGCAUGAAAACCAGAUUCUAAAUUAAAAAAGAAAUUUGUUUCCAAGGAUAAGGUGGUCUUACCUUAUAAGCCUUUUCAAGUACACUAGCAAAAAUGCCCGCACUCCGCUGCGGGGACUUCUAGAAGUAUGAUCUUGUACCAUUUGAUUUCUUUUGCCAUUCCUAGUUCUUUUUGGCAUCAUGUGCAAAACCAAAUUGAUAGAUAAAAAAAGGUCGUACCCAGUGCACAAGGCUCCCGCUUUACGCAGGGUCUGGGAGAGGUGAAUGUCGGCUAGCCUUACCCCCAUUUAUGGAGAGGGCUGCUCCCAAGUCUCGAACCCGAGACCUACCGCUCAUGGGCGAAGGCACUUGCCAUCACACCAAGUGCGACCUCUUUAUUAUAAUUAAGUAAAAAAAUGAUAGGUAGGAAGAAAAAAAUGAAAACACCUGCAUAAAUUCAAUUUUCCAUCACCCCUAUAUUAUAAUUAAAUAAAGCAAAACAUAAUAAUCAUCUCACAAUUACAGAAGCAAGGACUUUCAAAUGCCCCAAUUAGUUAACAGCCACUAUGCAUAAUUCUGAAAAAAUGAGUAUAAAAUUAACCUCUUUUGAAAAACGAAGGAAGAAAGAUGAAACCUUAAGCCAAGGAAUAUAACUAUGUUGAACUCAAUUAUUUGACAUUAAUUACACAAACCCAAUUCCAUAUAUAUAGCCAGACAGAAGCUUUAUCCUAGAGAGAAACCAUGCCCAAAUGAUUAUAAUUCAGAGCAUAAAAGGGAAGUGAGUUCCUUGGUUCCCACAUUGUAGAGACUAAAUCUCAAAACUUUGCCAAGCAUUACAGGAAACCAUGGAAAGAAUAAAAAUGACCACAAAGAUUGCAAAACAAUUAACCACAGGUGGUGUUUAUAUGCCCACUGAGAGAAAAGAGCUUGUGCAAGUGAAAAAACGUAUUUAUAUAAAACAGGCAUGCACCAUCUGAAAGAGCCUCUUGUAUCCAUUCCAAUUAUACUUAUGUCUACCAUAUCCCUCUACAAUUCCCCACCACCAAUCAACCAUAACUGAUUUCAAUACCCUUAGCUGCUUUAGUAGACCAUCUAGUGACACCAACUGCCACCAAAAUAAAAGACACGAUCAAGACCAUACAAAUUACAGACUAAGCUUAAAAACAACGGUUAUCUAUUAAGCAAAACUUGGAACUCCUUGACAUGGCAACCUCUUAAUCCAGGAUGUAGAGUAGAAAAGCAAAAUUAUUGACAAACCGAAAAAUAACAAUUUAACUUGCAUAGUAAACGAAUAUUAGUAAAGUUACAUAACUCAAUGGAUUACAUAAAUCUGUAAAAAAGCGAAACAUCAGUGUUUGGGAAGUUACCUUAUUUGAAAUGUCAGGAGCAUCUGGUGUACAUACAGGGUAGACAGUCCUUGCAAAAUUCAGGGCUUCAAAAUAAAAUAAAAUAAUAAAUUCAAAAGAAAUCAAAACUAUUAAUCCUAACAACUGUUUAGUAAAGGAUAAAACAAUCUUUCCAUCAAGCAAAUUUGAGAAACAAGUAAUGAAUGGAAUAACCCAAUUUCUAUCGCCAAUCACCCUUGCUGAGUGAUGAUUCACAUACUUCCUCAUAUUUGUUUAUGGGUUCCUGUCCAACAAAAUUUCGACUUAGUACCCAAAAACUGUAUCAGCUCACAAACACACAGAGGUUUAUCAAAUUCAAAGCAAAACCCACAUAUAUUCUCAAGAUUCUAGAGUUAAAAGAGGAGCAAGGAGGUUCGGUUAAGGAACCCAAAACGCUAUUUUAAUGAGCAAAUGAAUAUCUAAACUGGGGUUAACAAGUUUCAGCAAUAAAAAACAUGUCUUUCGAACGAAGUUGCAUAAAUUACAGAACUUUGGGAUUAAGGAGGAACAAAAAGCCCAAAUUCCAAUCAAGAAAAAAAAAAUGUAUGUAAAUUUAAGCUUUACCUGUAGAUUGGCAGCAGCAAAACAUACUGGAUCCAACGGGAGCCACGUGUGAGAACUGGAUGCCCAGCCUUUGACACGUUAUUGAGUGAGUUUAGGGAUCUGGGUUUUGUGUUUGCCGUUGAAUUUUGGAAUGAUCUGGAGAAAUUUGGGUUUUAGGGUUCUAAGGAUUUGAGUGAACUGAAAUUGAUUUGGAUGAGCAACUUUUAGUUUCGAUUCGCGGUGGAGCAAGGAUGAAGAGGUGGAGGAGGAAGGAAUGAAAGACUUAACUUCUAAAGUUUCAAGUGCUCAAGGAAGAAAAUAUCGGUAAUAUCGGAAAUAUCGGUAGUCUGAAAACAUGGAAAUAUCGAUGGAAAUAUCGGGAUAAUAUCGAUAUCGAUAAAAAUUACAUGGAAACCACGGAAAUUGUAAGAAAAACUUGGAAAUUUUUAUUGAAACUUUGCAGGAUGUUUAUUUAGUCAAUUAUCUAUUUGUUUAUCACAAAAAAUUGGAAGGAAAGGCAUUACAUGAUGGAUUUAACAUUAUCAAGUUGAUUAUAUAACGAGCUGACAAACAUUGUGAGUGUAGAAAAUAUGUAGAAAUUAAUGAAAGAAGUCUAAACACACCAUAAUCAUUUAUAUAUAAUGAAUUAGUACAAUAUUUUACACUUUAUACAUUGCAUGGUAAGAUACAUGAGUGACUUAGUACCACAUAGAGUUCCUAUGAGGUUCAAAAUUUUCACUAUCUUCAUCAUCUCUAUGUGUAGAGUGAGUGUAUUUUAAAGAGUAGUUAGCAACCAUGGCAAUGGUUUUCAAGAACCAAAACCCAAAAGUCAAUAGGAAACCGAAUACUUCGGUAUUUUUCGGGAUUACCAAACAAAUGGGAUUUGGAAACCAAUCCCAUAUCGAAAAUUUCGGUAUUUUUCGGGAUGGGAUUCCCGAACUUCAGGAUGGUUUUGGUUUGGGAUUUUUCGGUUUGGGUUUGGGACUUUUUCAAUUUGGUUUGGGAUUUUCCGGAAUUUUUUCCAGCCCUACCAUGUAAGUGACCAAAUAAAAAAUAGAAAAAUUAAAAACCACAUGCCAUUGACUAAGUAAUUAAUUGAUACAAUUUAAAAUAUAAUACCACAAAAAAUUUGGAAUAUGUGCAAAUUUGUUUCUUGUAAAAAGAAUUCAAAACAAAACCAUAUAUAUAAAUAUUGUAGCAUAUUAUCACAACAUCAUAAGUGGUAUAGUGGUUAAGGCGUUAAGGAGGUAAACUCGAGGAGUUCGAACCCUUCUAUGCUCAAAAUUGAGACUUUUCCAAAUUUUCAGGAAUUUUUUGACUAAUAUCGCGAUAUUUUGACGAAAACUCAUUGGAUACUCAUUAAAAUAUCGGUAACUCAAAAAAACGAAAAUAUCGGCGAAAUAUCGUCGAUAUUUUGGAUAUUUUCUUCCAUGCAAGUGCUCAACAAAUUUCGAUCAAUGUAUGUUUCAAUACUUCAAAAAAAGGGACAUGCAUCAAAGACUUUUAGGUGGAAAAAAAUAUGCAUUGGCUGAUGGAGAUAAUUAGGAUUUAAAAUGUUAAAAAUUUUCUUUUUGGCUCACUAAUUAGAUGCAAAAGUGAGACUGUGUGAACAAUUUUACACCCAGAAACAUGAACUACACAGAAUCACAACUGAUCGAACAAUGAGAAAGUAUAUAAGACAAUACACUAUCAAUAGGCUAAAACACUCUUUUAAUUGAUCUAACAAUAGGCUAAAACACUCUUUUAAUUGAUCUAACAAUAGGCUAAUAGGAUUAACUAAACCAUUAGAGACUGCAACAAUGAGAAAGUCUGAAGAUUAAAGUUCUAGUUGAAUAUCUUUGAACCCCUAGGUGUUGGAAACACUUUCAGUAAAUUUGUUCAGGAAAAUAUAGAAACUCAUGAUGCAAUUCCAUCGUCUGGGAUAGCACAUAUUUACCUGGAAUCCAACAUUAAGCUAACAUUUUUCAUAAGUUUAUUCUUUUUGUUAACUACACUGGAAUUUAUAAAACAAUUUUAGAAAAACUCGAGUCUAGAUAAUGAACUUUUGUUCCAGUUUAAAAAAUUUUGACUUGUGUUCUAAGCAACAUAAUGUAUUCACAUUUCAAUUGUGAAAGGCAGCAAUAAUCCCCGACUGAAGAUAUUAAAAAUCAGAACUUCUUCUCCAAGUUUUCAUUUAGUUUAUUUCACUUGUCCAUCGGAAUUUUAUGCAAAGAAGAUUAAAUAAAGACAAUAGCAUGCCAAAGAUUAAAACCCCUCAUUUCAAACUCUGCUAAUGCACAACUCUGUUUGGUUUUCUUCCCAGAGACCAGACUGAGUGAGGAGUCAAGUUCUCCAAUGCACCAACAAUCUCCCGUUCGAGCAGCCAUCACCACCUCACUUGCCACUCCGGCGAGGCACCACCUUGCCACCACCCUCAUGUCUCACUCCCUUUCUACCACUCUCCUUAUUUCCCUCACCUCUUUCUCUCGAUACUGUGCUCGCUGCACAGAAACAGCAAGGCAACCACCGUCGCCUUUUUUCACAGCGAACUACACCGUAACGAAACCAUCACCAUUAAUCUCGCUACCUAGGCGAGUUUUACCACCCUCUGCAAACUGCCUUCAUGCCUUCUAAUUUCAAUUCUUGCAUUUCUUGUAUGGUAUCCAUGUCUUGCACAUUCAAAUACUUAUAUACCGACUGAGAAUAACAAUAUAAAUCCCACACCCACCUCUUUUUCCCCACUUGAAAAAUCACCUAAAAACAACAUUAACCACCAUAGUUUAAGAAUCCAAACAUGGCUCCAAAUUUCAAUCUAAUUAAUUAAAUUACAGAGGAUUCUACCUACCUCAUGAAAACAAAUAUGUUCAGUUAAAGAAAUUCCCUAAUCAUUGCAGUGCAUCUUAAACUACUUCUUAACUAUGUCAGCCAUACCAAUCUAAUAAAAAAUCCAUGUUUCAAUCGAUUCUUAUUAAUUCCAACUCCAAGUAUUUCAGCAUCUAGAUUAUAGAAAAAUCAUAACAAAACAAAACUCAAUCUUGGUGCUAAAGCACACUUCGUUAACCUCACCUUCAUCAAGUCCAUGAUUCCUGCCAUGAGAUCUUUCUCUUAAUCCAGACUUGGCUUCAGAUGCAAGAUCAAAAUAACGAAGCAUUCAGUUCCAUUUCUACGCACAGCAAAUUAAAAAUUGAAAUAUGUUAUAAUUUACUCGGAAUCUUCAUAAGUAUCAUGAAAGCAUAUAAACAGAUACAUUUGAAAACUGAUAAAGCUACCUAAUUAAGUUGAAAAGUCGCUAAUUAAGAUCAAGUGCCAGUGCAUCCAGUGAGCCUUCCAAGGAAAGAUGGCCCCAUGGACUUAGACCUUGAAAACUAAGGCUUGUUUUGCCUUGUAAUUGUAUGAUCAGUAGCAUUCUUAUGGAUUGUAAUUGUAUGAUCAGUAGUAUCUGAAAGAUAUGAUUUCUGAAACUCAACUCAAUGAUUUGAGUGAGCCAAUUAGUAUUGAUAUAUAUAGCAUUACAAAGUAGACAUGUAGUAGAAUAUAGAAAGUUCAAUUACAAGCAGUAUCGGAAACAAAUUACUAAUCAAACUAGAACUCGGCUGCUGCUCAAGUAUCUGUAUAGGAAUGAACAUCUUGAGCGGAGAAUGAUGGAACAUCCUUGUUCUUGUGGGAGACUGGUUUAUCACUCCCCCGCAAACUGACAGGGAGGCCACGAACUGGUAGUUUGGAGAGCAUAAAAGUAAAGCGGGCAGCAGAGAGACCUUUAGUAAGAAGAUCAGCCAGCUGGUCAACAGAGGAGACAUAACCAAUAGUGAGUUCAUUGCGAGUGACCUUUUCCCGAACAUAAUGAUAGUCCACCUCCACAUGUCGCAUGCGUUGUUGAUAGACGGGAUUAGAGGCUACAGAAAUGGCACUGAUGUUGUCGCACCAGAUGCGGGGAGGAGCAAGCGGGAGAUGAAGCUCUCGAAAUAAGGUGCGAUACCAAGAGAGCGCCGUAGCAGUGAACGCAAGCUGGUGGUAUUCAGCUUCGGUGCUGGAGCGAGAGACACCUCGUUGUUUCUUGGAGCUCCAGGAAAUAAGGUUAUCACCAAGGAAAAUACAAUAGCCACCAGUAGAACGACGGUCGUCAGGAUCGCCGGCAUAGUCCGCAUCAACAUAGGCAGUGAGGUGAAGGGGACUCGGUUUGUAAACAAUGCCAUGAUUCGGAGUCGCUUUAAGGUAACGGAGGAUGCGUUUAACAGCAACCUAAUGGAUUGUGGUUGGCCGAUGCAUGAACUGGCAAACCUGAUUUACAGCAAAGGCGAUAUCAGGACGAGUGAAAAGAAGAUAUUGCAAGGCCUCUACAACACUUCGGAAUUCUGUAAGAUCAGACAAUAGUUCUCCAUCUGAUAAGAUGAGGCGUCGACCAGGAAUAGUGGGGGCCGAAAUAGGCUUGCAGUCCAGCAUAUUAGUACGUUUAAGAAGAUCAGUGAUAUAUUUUGCUUGAGUAAGAUGAAGGCCGGCAGCAGUAUGAUGAACUUCCAUUCCUAAUAAGUAAUGAAGGGGGCCAAGAUCCUUCAUGGAAAAAAGAACGCCCAGCUGUUGAAUUAAGCGAGCAAUAUGAUCCGUGCUAUUACCAGUAAUAAGGAUGUCAUCCACGUAUAUUAACAAGUAAAGGAUGACAGAGCCAUCAAAGAAAGUAAACAAUGAAGAGUCGACAUGAGAAGAAACAAACCCCAAAUGUUCCAAGUGUUGGGAAAAGCAUUGGAACCAUGCACGAGGAGCUUGUUUAAGGCCAUAUAGAGACCGUUGUAAUUUGCACACAUGAAUGGGACGUUGAGAAUCAACAAAUCCUGGAGGUUGGCGCAUAUAGACAUCUUCAUUUAGAGAACCAUGAAGGAAAGCGUUUUGGAUAUCGAGUUGCUGAAACGGCCAAUUGUAGUGAAUAACAAUGGAGAGAAUCAGCCGAAUGGUGGCAUGAUUGACGACGGGGCUGAACGUCUCACCAUAGUCCAAACCUUCUUGUUGAUGAAACCCAUUGACGACUAACCGUGCUUUGUAUCGUUCGAUGGAACCAUCAGAGCGCCGCUUGAUUUUGUAGACCCAUUUGUUGGGGAGAACGUUCAUAGUGUGGUGGAAUGGGACUAAGGUCCAGGUACCAUUGCGUUGUAAUGCAGUAAACUCGUCAGCCAUGGCUUUGCGCCAUUCAGUGUGUUUGUGUGCCUGACUAAAACAGGUAGGCUCAACCAAAUCAUCAGAAAAAGUAGUAACAAAAACAUAUUUGGGAUUAGGUUUUCGAACACCAACUUUGCUGCGAGUAACCAUGGAGUGAGACCGAUCACUUACCUCGGGAGUAGAUGAAACGGAUGCAGCGGGGGCAACAGGUGGUAGGUUUGCUCCAGGGGCUGACGGAUGGGUAGGAGUUAUGGGGAAAGCAGGUUGGGGGGAAGAAGCUGUGGGGGAUAAAGGAGAGGCAGAUGUGUCCGGCGGGAAACGGGUAGGGCGAGAGGGCCUACGAGUAUAAACUUGAAGGGGGCGUUGGGUAGGGUGUGAUGGUAGGGUUGAGGGAAUGGAAGAGGAAGGCUGCGGGAUGGAGGGUGUGGGGGCACCAUGAGAUGGUGAUGGUCCGAUGGUGAGUACUGGAUCCACAGACGAGGAAAGCAAUGAAGGCGAUGGAACAAUGGACUCUUUAUAUGGAAAGGUGUGCUCAUCAAACACGACAUGGCGAGACAGAAAUACACGACCUGUGGAGGGAUCUAAGCAGCGAUAACCAAGAUGGUUUAGAGAAUAACCCAAGAAAACACAGCGUUUGGAACGAAAUUGCAGUUUGUUAGUAUUAUAUGGACGUAAAUACGGAAAACAGGCACACCCAAAAACUUUAAAAAACUUAUAUUGAGGAGGUUUGUGAAACAGUUUUUCAAACGGGGAGAUAUUGUGUAAAAGGCGAGUGGGUAAACGGUUAAUAAUGUAAUUGGAAGUAUGAAAGGAUUCGGUCCAAAAGGGAGUAGACAGACCGGAUUGAGCUAAAAGAGUAAGGCCAGUUUGAACGAUGUGGCGGUGUUUACGUUCCGCCACACCAUUUUGUUCCGGAUGAUGAGGGUAGGUAAGACGAUGUAAGAUGCCAUGGUGAUUUAAGAAUGUUCGAAAACUAUGAUUAACAAAUUCACCUCCACCAUCCGUUUGGAAAGCUUUAAUCUUAACACUGAACAUGUUUUCAACGAGGUUUUUAAAAGUGACGAAAGUAGAGAAAACAUCAGAUUUUAAUCGGAGUGGAUACAACCAAGUAUAACGAGAAUAAUCGUCCACAAAAAUCACAUAAUACUUAUAACCAGAAAUGGAGAGAGAGGGAGACAUCCAAACAUCACAGUGAAUUAAUUCUAAAGGUGAAGCAGCCAUGGAGGAAGAUAAAGAAAAUGGCAAUUUAUGACUUUUACCUAAAGGACAAAAUUGACAAAACUUACUAGAAAUUGAGCCUUUAAUUGGCAAUUUAUUUGCAGACACUAAAUGUUGUAAAAUGGAAAACGAAACAUGACCUAACCUAGAAUGCCACAAGGCAUCCGAGACACGUUCACCAACACAAGCAAAAACACCAGAAGGUUGAUGAGAGGAAUGGGAAGGAUAGAGUCCAUUGUUACUAGGGCCUUGGAAAAGGAUCUUCCCCGUCCGCGAAUCCUGCACACGAUAAAAACGAGGGUGGAUAGUAAAGAAACAGUCAUUAUCAGCAGCAAAACGAUUUAAAGAUAUGAUAUUAGUGGAAGCAUGAGGGCAGUAGAGAGUAUUCAGUAAUAAAAAAAAAGCGAGUUUAGUGUGAAGAAACGAAUCACCAAUUUUGGAGAUGUGCAAACCUGAACCACCAUGAAUAACACCAAUCUGAUCAGUUCCAUGAUACUCACGAGGAUUAGAAAGCUGACCCACAUCAUUGGUUAUGUGGGAAUUGGCGCCAGAGUCAAAGAGCCAUGGUUGAGCAGGCGAGGCAGAAGGAGCAUGAGGGACACCACGGGACUGAGGUGCAGCCGCAUAAGCCUGAAGAUGAGACGAAGGAACCCUGCCUUCAUAGGACAUGUUGAGACGAUUGUAACAAUCAAUAGCGGAGUGACCAUAACGCUGACAAAUCUGGCACUGAAUACGACCAGAUGGGGAGAACGCAGGGGCAGGAGAGAAGCCACCUGAAGCAGGAGCAGGGCUGAGGAUGCCAUUGGAGGAAGCAGGCUGUCCACGGGAGGAAGCGGCUGGCGAAGAAGAAUGGGAAAAAUCACCAUGAUAGUUGCGAGAGGAACCAGAACCACGAGCGUAGCCGCCACCACAACCACCCCGAAACGCGCCGCCACGGCCGUGAGACGUACCACGGCCACCACGCACAGCAGCAAACGCAGAAGUACCGACGUCAGAGGGAAGAAAGAAAGCAGUGUGACGUUGUUCGGCGCUAAGAAGUAAAGAUUCCAAGGCAGUGUAAGUGAUGGGAGUAUCACGGGCUUGGGCAGAAGCAACGGUGGUCUCAAACUGUGGUCUCAAACUGAGGACCAACCUUACUCAUAAUAAUGGCAACCAAGUCUGAUUUAGAAACUGGGGCGCCAGAGAUGGCAAAGUUGUCGGCAAGAAUAUUCACCUUGUCGAGAUAGUCGGCAAUAGAGAGAUCACCACGAGAGGUAUUCAUCAAUUCUGUUCGCAUUUGAAUAAUACGGUUCUGAGAGGUAGAGGCAUAGCGUUCCUGAAGAGACAACCAAGCAGAGGCCGAAUCAAUUUUGUUGACAAUAGUAGCAAGGACCUUGGGAGUAAGAGAACUAGUAAUCCAAGAGAGGAUCAUCUGAUCAGUUUGGAUCCAGUCAAGAUACGACGGAUUGACGGUGUCGGUAAUGGUACCCUUGUCAUCAGAAAGAAAAGCAGAAGGGCAUUUAUGUUCACCAGUAACAAAGGAGAGAAGGUUGCGGCUGCGCAGCAAGGGAAGAAACUGAGCACGCCAUAGGGGAUAGUUGUUGCGAUCGAGUUUUAUGGUAAGAAAAUUCGUAACUGAGGGAGCAGCAGCAGUAAAGGUAGAAGAAGAGGACGCCAUACUGGGAAGAGAACGGAGAGAGAAAAAAAUAAAAAAAAUAAAAAUUAAACGAUGAACCGUUGUCGUAAGACGCUGGCUCGUGAUACCAUGAAAGAUAUGAUUUCUGAAACUCAACUCAAUGAUUUGAGUGAGCCAAUUAGUAUUGAUAUAUAUAGCAUUACAAAGUAGACAUGUAGUAGAAUACAGAAAGUUCAAUUACAAGCAGUAUCGGAAACAAACUACUAAUCAAACUAGAACUCGGCUGCUGCUCAAGUAUCUGUAUAGGAAUGAACAUCCUGAGCGGAGAAGGAUGGAACAUCCUUGUUCUUGUGGGAGACUGGUUUAUCAGUAUCCUUAUGGAUUCCCAGAUGAAUCCUCAAAAUUUUGUUCUCAUCCGUUAGCUUAUGCACAUAGGACAAAAGCGGUUCAAUUGUUUCACACUUCUCAUUGUUUCUCCUUAUCAACUCAGCUCAUUGCUGCAUAUUUCGUCCAUGAGUUCCAAGAUCUUUUCAUGCAACAUUUUAUCUUUUUCAACCAUAUUACCAUCAGAUUCUACCCCAUGAUCAAUACUCUCUUUUUCCAUAUAUUCUUCAAAAGUACACAAACCAACCUUUUUUAGGAUAGACCAGCAUUUGUUUGUUUUGAUGGCACUGAAUUUUGUUUCCGUUUUCUCUUUUGUGGUAGUCUGAUAAAGAUGCACUCCAAAAAAUAAUUUGAGUGCCUAUACAGAUGAACAUCGCAUAAAAAUCAAAAAAUCAAAAAUCAAAAACAGCAGCAGAGAUAAAAAAAAAUGACAAUAAUUCUAAAAAAAUUUAAAUAAAAAACAGGAACCUCUGUGAGUUAAUUUUUUGGGCAAAAAAAAUUCUAUUAAUGCAUUCUCAUACAAAAAAUUUCUUUAAAUACUGAUUUCAUGCAAUCUAGGAGCUAAGUGCUUAAAUCAGAAAAUUUUCUUUAACCCAGAUACUCUUGUACUGCAGUGCAGCAAAGUUUUUCUUGAACCCUGACGAAUAUUGCUCUAAAAAUAUCCCAAAUAUAUCUCAGAGAUUGCAGAGAUUCAGACAAUCAAUAAUGGGACAACCGGAAUGUUCCUUGUUCGUUUGUCCUCCAUACUCUACCCUAAUCUUCUUAGGAUUUUAGUUAAACAACUUGCUCCUGUAACAGCUAUAUUAAAGCAUAAAUAUUCAUGAACACUCAUCACCAAUAGCAAAAAGGCACAAAGUAUUUUUACAGAAAUCUAAAGAUCCCUUUUGUGUCCCAAACCCAGGUCUGUCCACUAUUUGCCUUCCUCCUUCAGGGCAUAAUUAGAGAUACCCGCCAACAGUAUAACCAAAAAAAUUGCAGUGAGAUUUUAAAAUACGAACUUUAUUUGAUAUUGCAAUGAAAUAUAACAAAAUGUACAAAAAUUGUUAUUUUGGUAAACAAAUAGACAGUGGAAUAACAGAAGAAGCCGAACCCAGAAAAAAUAAAAACACAGAAUCACAGUAGAAGAAGCAAACCCAAGAAAAUACAGAAAAUAAAACAAAAAGGGUGCAACUUUUAUUGACGGGUGAAUGAGUAGACAAUAAAAAAAAUGCAAACUUUGAGUUCAAAACAAACCUUGUACCGUUUGAAAUUUGAGACUUGGAGUCGCCCACGGGAAGGGUUUUAUGAGAAGACAGUAUUAGGCGUGCUGAAGUUAGUUUAUGCUUUUAGUUGUAAAUUCACAUCUAAUACUGGUUGAACACAAAUUUCAGCAAAUACACAGAAGAAAUAGCAAGAAUUGAUUUCAGAAUUGGGAAAAAAUUAAAUUAAAAAUAGAAAACAAAGGGUCGAAAAGCUGCAUACCUAAACACCAUUUCAUAUCUUUUUAUCCUCUUCGAGUACCGAUCGAUUCCAUAGAGAGGGAGAGAGGAGGGAGACGACGAAGGGGAGAGGAGGGAGAGGAAGGCGAGAGGAGGAGAACGACUGAGGCGAUUUACUGUCUGUGUGGUUCUCGCGGGGACUGCGAGGUGAACUAGGAGAGGAAUGACCAGGUGGCUCUGGGCUUGAGGUCAGAGAGAAAAUGAGAGACCUAAACGGCUAGGGUUGGAAAUGAGAAUCUGGGCUCAGGGGCACAGAAGAUUUGGAAAUGAUUUUUACCUUUCAAUUUGGAAAUGAUUUUUGCUGACCACUGCUAUGUUCUGUGAUUUCUUCGAUCACAAGAAAUCAAGUUGGUCUCAAAUUGUAACCGUUUGGGUUCAAUUUGCGAUUUACAGCUUUUAAGUAGUAUUUUAUUUUACUAGUUUCUCUGUUAAUGCCAAGUGGCAAGUGACACAUGCGUAGUAUUUUAUUUUACUAGUUUCUCUGAGUAUGAACCUGUAAACUUGGUUAUAGGAUUAGAGAUUGAAUACGAAGUCUUGUUGAGAAUGGAUUUAUGAAUCCAUAUUGUAACUGAACUACUAUUUAAAAGAAAUUGGUUUUCUGUAUGGAUUUUAAUAGAGAAUUUCUUAUAGAAUUUGGCUAGGAUUAUGUAGUAUAUAUAUGAUGGCCUCUGUUCUCACAGUGUGUGUACUCUACUCAGAACUAAUACCUAUUAUUAGUUGAGAACCUUGAACACUGAAGAGAAGAGAAGGUGCACUGCAGGAUUCUUGUAGAAAAUCGAGCAUGGCGUCCAGUUCCGGUUCAUCUGCAGGUACGGUUUUCUCCGUACAUUGGUUUAAUGAACAAUGAUUUGUGUUUUGAUAACAGUAGCUCAUAUAACUUGUUAUUGGUUUAUGUUUAUUCUAACAUUCAAGUCAUUGACCCUUGAAGAAGGGGCUAGCAAAUCAGCUUAUGCCAUCUGGGAGUCAUCAAUUGGAACGUACAUUCGUGAUAUCUAAACAAUAAAACAUUUGACCAAUAAAAGAAAGAUCCAAACAAAGACUUGUCCAGCACUCAAAAUUUCCCACUAUAUAAAACCCAUUGAGCUCUUCCAUUUCCUCACACUUCCGAUCACAAAAACUUCACUAUAUUAAAUUGAGAAGAAAAAAAUGAGCCAAACAGCAGGUAGGCUAAUGAAGCCUGGUUUAGCGUUUGUGUUUGGGACCAUGUUUGGAGCUUUCAUCACCAGAGCUAGUCUGCACCGUUGCCACCACCGCUUUCACGACCACGAAGGUGAUCGGAAGCAUUGGCCUUGUCCUCGCCAAGCUCAGGAUAAAAAGAUUGGUUCAAGCCCAGGAGGGCUGGAAACUACAACCACUAGAAACAUGGAAAACUAGCCCCAUGCUUGCGACAACGACUUAUAUAACAUAGUUACACCAUUACGAUGGUUCUAUUCUAAUGAAAUAAAGACAUGGGUAAACUUUUGUCUACAUAUCCUUAUUUCAUUGACAUAAAAUACUAUGUAGUAGUGUAGCUGUGCCAUCUAAGUUGUUUUCCAUGCAUGCAUCGUGCAUGGUCCAAGUUCAAAAAUCAGCCCAGCUGGCUAGCUUUGCUUCUAAUUUUAUAUGCUUCUGUUGUAUUACAUGAGUAGUAUGUAUUUGGGUUUUUAUCAGAAAUCAGCCCAGCUAGGUAGUUUGAUUUGUUGGCCGAUUGUUUCGGUUCUUUUUUGGCUUUUCUUAUUGUUUAGCGUGCAAAUUGGUUUGUUAAUGAAACUUAGUGAGGAAAUGAAGUCAUCAUGGUUUGUAAUUUUCAAAUGAUGAUUUUUUUUUUUUUAUAAUUUUUCUAGCAAAUACUGUGAGAAUUUUGGUUAUCCUAAAUCACAUUUAGCACUCUAAACACACAACUUAUUGUCGGCUGAAAUUAUAAUUAAGGUAUUUUAAAGAAUUGACUGGUAUUAGCACUUGCUUAUGUGCCAAAGAGCAAAUUAAGAGCGUUUAUCCCUACAUUUGAGACUAACUUGACAAAGAUUUGGGUCACUAAAGAUGCCUCCUCCCAUCAUGAAAAGUGAAAACCAAUAUAUUCGAGGUAAUGCUAGGGAAACUAAAUUUGUAGACAAAAUUUACAAACUAAAUGAUGUGUCGUCAACGUCCAACUUUAAUAUAUAAAGGAAAUUUGCCCAAAAACAGUGCCAAAUUAAUCAAGACUAAAUUUUUACAUUACAGUUUAAGAGACCCUAAAACGUUUCCGAAAACUGCAAAGCACCACAGGAUUAUGCCAGCAUCCAACUAAUUAAUCGACGGUUCAGCUUCUCUAUGUUUAGUUGAUGAAGUAGCCAACCAAGAUGCCCAGAAGACCGAACAGCACCACAAACAACAACGAAAAUCCGCCACCGCCGUUUUUGCUAAUUUCUUUUCUCAACACAUCCUGCUCAAAUUCAAAAUUUUCUCUUAUUGCCAAAAGGAAAUAAACGAAAACAAACAUGAAAAUGAACUCCGAUAAAGGGGAACUGAAGCAUCAAACACCCAACAAUACAAAUAGAAACAACAGUUCAUAAAAAGGAGAUUGACAGCUGAUGAAGUUAAACGGGGAUACAUACUAGUAGAACCGUUAGCAUAGGGACAAUCAAAAGCAUGAGGCUUGGAUAUACGUAAGAAACUAAGAAUUAAACAAAAGCUGAGCUGAUCUUCCUCCGUCAAUCAAGUCAGUGGAAUGCUCACAAAAUCCUUCACUCAAUCGAGUCAGUGACAACCUCCCUCAAUUUCCUCCCUCACCCUCUGCAACACUGGCACAUCCCUCACCUAUUCGCUCAAUCCCAUCGAACCCACACAACCCCAAACUCUCCCAAAAUAGAGAAUGACCAAAAUACCCAUGUCAAUAGGCAUUUCACGUUCAGGGCUUUAACCAUUUAUUGGACACCACCGAAGCCCACUUCGGACCCAAAUUCUAAUCAAUGGCAGAGAUGUAAAUAUUACGAAAUCAAAGGAAAUUCAUUGUAGCUUAGGAACAUACCCAUGUCGUACUACUUUAGAUUCGGAUGGUCUGUCUAUUCACACCGGUGGGUGGUGGUAGUGCCUAGUGGUGGCUUGCCGCCGUCUAUAAUGUCUAUAAUUCUAUCAGUCAAUUGGUUUCUUCUAUAAAAUGUGUGGCCUUAUGCUUUGUUUAUUGGAUAUUUAUAAUAUUAUACAAUUCCAAUUACUUUAGUCGGAAGAAGGAAAUCCAAUUGCACUGUUCAACUGAACAGUGUUUUGGACCGAAUUUCACUUUGUUUACAAAAAUUUCCACCACCCCUAUAUGUCGUUCAGAUAGAAAAUUUCAAUUUAUUUACGAAAUUGCCACCGUUUUACACAGGGGAAGGGCGCCCACGAGUCAAUCAUCUUGGAUUCUGCGUCGACUACUUUUCCGUUUCCAUCCCCUAUUAUUUCCCUUUCUCGACUCUGUUUCCGUAACCAUCCAUCAAAUACCCCGUCCCUCCUCCCUUAGAUCCCUCACCGAUUCUGUCUCUCGCCAUUCUCAGUCUCGCCAACCGCGAACCCCUUGACAGCUUGCAGCUCUAUGCUCCACCUCCAGAUUCGUCGCAUAUACCAGCCGAGACUGUCGUCAUCGUCACCCUAUGAACAAUUCCAUGCUCAGAAAUCAGAGAUGAGAGCCCCAAGACAGUCGCCUGCACCACCGUCUUAGAAAAGUGAGCCAAAAUCUCGCGAGAUUCAAGCCGCGCACGAGCGAAUCCGAAGGACAAACCUCCGAUAAAAAUUUCUCAUCCUCUCUCUUCAAUUUCAUAUUUGUUGUUAGAUUAAAAGGGAAAAAUAUGAGAACUAACUCGAGCAAAUGUUCUGGAUGUAAGCUAAAAGAUCAAUUUAGCUUUUCUUCCCUGUCAAUUUAGUGCUUUUUCUUUUCUUAUUACCUUUAGGAGUUAAUUUUUUGAGAUAUAAUAUGACUAACAAAUUUACUGUUGCCUCUGUCAUCUUUUUUGCUGAAGAUUUCUUUUUUAAAAAUUGUAUGCCAUGACAAAAUAAGGGUUGUAUUCAAUUGAAAAUUUGAGAGAUUUUAAUGAAUUUAUAAAUCCAUGAAUUUUUAUGGAGUUUAAUUGAUAUGUAGAGAUUUCAUAUAAAAUUUUGAUUCAAUUCUCUCAAAAUCUCAUGGGGAGAGGUGAGAUUUGUAGAUGCUUAAAAUACACUACGAAAUAUCUCAAAUUCCCUCUAAUUCCUCAACUUUCUCAAAUUCUUUAAAAUCAAUUUCUAAUUGAAUACACCUAGAAUGUUAUAAACUUUUUUAAAAUCCUAAUUGAAUACACCGGAUUUCUAAGGAUUUUAAUAAACUAUCUUAAAAUUAUAAUUGAAUACAUAUUGAAUUUCAGAGAAUCACUUAAAAAUCCUAAUUGAAUACCCCUAGAUUCAUAUAAAGAAUUAAAAUCCCUCAAAAUCCCAAUUGAAUACACCCCUAAAUUUACAAAUUGCUAAUUUUCUGUUUUGUAUAAAAUCUUUGUUCACUCUACCUGAACAGGUACACUUGACUGAUAAGGAAAGUCUUCAUAUUAAAUCCAUGUUAGCCUCUAUCGUGUUCUUUGUAUUUCGUUAUCUGAACUCUGUUAUUUGAAUUUGGUCACCUGAAUUGUGCCUAAUAUUUGAUGUGGCUAGUAGCCUUGUAUGGUUGGCUGGUGUGAUUUGGGAGUGCUUUUGGUCAAUGGGAGACAGGGGACACAGGUGUGGAGCAGCAAAGUCAAGUGGGAUUAGGAAUUUAGGAUGGUAGAAUUUUUGCUAAUUUAUGGGAUUAGAAGUCUUCCUUUAUUUUUGUCUUGGUGUGAUCAAUUGUAACAAAGAAUUUUCAUUAAAUUGAGGUAGUGAACCUACUAAUUUUCAUAUGUUGUUUGUCUACAGUCUUCUCCAUUCUCUUGGACCAAGCAUGAAAUCCCAAGCACUAUAUCACCACAAAGCAAGCAAGCUGAAAGCAAUCCAAAGAAACCCUUUUUCCAGAAGCACUUAACAAAACCUUUCUAUGGAUGAAUUGUUGUUUCAAUUAUACCAGAUUGAAAACAAGUAUGGAACCAUUGAUCAAGCAUACGGGGCUGUCGCCCAAACCUAUAUUAAGUGGGCAACAAGCAUGGUUGUGUCCUUAGAUACAGGUGUGCCCUGUUAAAUGUAAUCUUGUCUUGGCCCAAAAUAAUGGAUCCAGCCCAUGCACAAAGAAAGAUUCAUGCACAUGCUAGAGAAUUUUAGUAAAGUUCAAGUUGGUGGAAGAGUCUAGAAGAAUGAUGAAGAUUCCACCAACAUACAAGAUUAGUGUAGAUAAUACUAGCAUAGAAAGGUAGUGGAAUUAUCUAGAUAUAUCUAGCAUGAUGUUUCCAUGCUUCUCCAAGGUUCCAUCCAUGCCUAUAAAAGGAGGAGGCAUCCACACCAUUUGGAACAACCAAGAGAGCAAGUAGUGAGAAGUGAGAAGAAGCAACAAAGCUUCUAAGAGUGUUUGAGUGUUUCCUCUUGUACUAAGUUUGUUAGUGAAUAAAAAUCUUGUGUAAUACAUUGAGUGUACUUUCUUUCUCUUGCUUAUCAGUUCCGCUGCAUUACAUUAUUCUUUGUGAGAUAAACGUUUCCAAAGUAGUGAAGUCUUUUUAAGCCCCAAUAUGCCCUAGGUCAUGUGCCAACAAGACGAUGCUCCUGCAUCCGCGGUGAGGCUUUUGUAGUAUGUUUUCAUUUGUAUUGUAUUGUAUUGACUUUGACCUUUUUGAUCAACGUCCAAUAGCAGUAGGUGCAGUAAUUCUCAAACCCUAAUUUUAACUGUUUGGAUCAUUGCAGAUUUGGGUUAUUUAUUUAUUUAUUUUAAUUGCGUUGCUUCUACUUGCUGUAUAUUGGCUGAUGGAUUUCAGAGUAUUUUUUGUUUUGUGACUGGAUUUCGUUGUGUCGGAUUAGUUUGGUUUGCUAUGAUCGGUGAACCUUAUGUUAUUUUUUAUGGGUUUGGUUAACAUGGUUUUCAUUCCUUUUCAGAUUUGUUUCGACACACACUUCUCAAAAUUUGCGGGAUGCUAUGAUGAUAUUUUCUAUGAUGUAAACAAAUUAACUAUUUAAUGUCAAUAGUUUGUGUUAUAUAAAGCUACGCAUGUUAGGAGUAAAGUAAUUUAUUAUUUGUUCUUAGCCCCUGGUUUAUAAAUCCCAACUUUAAAAUUCCCAGUGGAUGUGUCUGUUAAUCGAUUGCGUUUGGGAUAGAAAUUUGUGUGUUUUAUUUAUUUAUUUAUUCGGGUUUUUGUAGCUGAUGCUGAUACAUAUUAGGUUUUGUGUUACUGGGUUUUAUCACUAAUUAAUUGUCAAUUGGAUUUUCCGGUUUCAAAAAUAGGUGAGGCGUCGACUAAUCAGCUGGCUGAUCAGCAGAUGCCAGUGUAUAAUCUUGCAUCGAAGAUUCUUUGUUGGGUUAUCAAUGUAUUAUUGAAGGUUGUGGUGGCUGAUCUGAUAAAGAAAACUAAGAAUUUUAGAUUUAAUUGUUUAGCUGCUUCUUUUCUACUCAAGUUAUUGGGCUUUGCAAGGGAAUAAUAUGUUUCUUUCUGCUGAAUUAUAGGCUGAACCAGACACUGAAGAAUUAUUUGCACAACUCACUUUACUUCCCAAAUCAAAUGUAAGUUGUUAGCUUGAGAAUUCUGAUUUAUUGUGGGCGGGUAAAAUUGAUUAUGGGUUGAGAUUCUGUUGGUUUGAUGUUCUUAUAAAUUUGAGCAAGAUGAGAAUGCAGUGGAGAAGGAAAUAACAUAGGCACGCGUCCUUAAAUGUGAAAAGACUUUGGUUAGGCAAAGCCAAAUUAAGGAAGAGAAGAAUAGGUAGAGGCUAAAACCUAAUCAAGUGGAAAUUUUAGGUAUAAAAUGUGCAGUGAGUCAAGAAAUUAUACAAUGGUGUCCAGCUGCUUUCCACCACGGCCACGUUAAACGGCUUAGUUCUUUUUCCAAGUGCAAGAAAUAAAUGGCACUUGAAUCAUAGAAAUAUUAACAUCUAUAUACUCAAAUGAAAAAAACUGCAUAUUUGAAAGGAAAAAACACACCAGCACACACUUGGAAAUAGCUGGAGAUAUUGGCAAACCUCACAAUGUAUAUGCAUGCUUUAGCGAUAUUUAUAAUGAGGAUAUUUAUAUUGGCAAACCUCACUUAUGCUCUGUACACAUUCUACUGUUUAAGUAAUGAACAAAACUAUUCUCAAUGUCUCUAGUUAUUCAUUUAUUAUCUUCAACGAUUUCGAAACCUGCUACUAUAGUUUACAGAAUGGUUAUGUCACACUCUGCUAUUCUUCCUGUCAGAAUCGGGAAGGUUUGCAUCUAUUCAAAUAAUGACUUCUAAAUUUUGUCUUUACAGGGAGGCUUGAUUGAUAGUGACGCUUUAACCCACAAGAGGAAUGUUAAUACCACAACGCAGUUCAAGUUGGGCCACUGGUGACUUUUCUGCUUAAAUGGAUUCAUCAACUCAAUUUUGUCGUUAAUUUUUGUUUUGAGUCCAUUUUCCUUGAUGAUGUUGUAUUAGGAUUUUAAGCUUAGUCGUUCAGGCGUGACACAUUUUCAGUGGGAAGUCACAAGCAUAAUUCAUUUUUCUUAAAUUAGACUCAAGAUUUUUAUGUGCAUUAUUCUUCUGUUUUACGAAUAUAAUUGGCUAAGCCUUAAUGAUAUUGUUGACGAAUCUUCACAAAAGGAUUUAAUUGCCUAAGCCUUAUAUGUUCAUCCGUUUUACGAAUUUAAUUGGCUAAGCCUUAUAUGUUCAUCUUUUGUGAGUAUUCAUUCUAGGAUUCUUCACAAAUUUCUGAGAAUUUCAUUUGAUCCAUACUAUGGCCGUUGAAAUGUUAGUACCUUUUUUAAAUUCAAUUUUUUUUAUUUACAGAAUUGUAUAAUCCUACAAGAAGAGAAGAGAACAUGUGAUCACCUACAAGAGUGGGUCGUCAAAAACACAAAUAGAUUUUCUUCUAAUGAGGAAAGGGGACCGUAUAACUUGUAAGGAUUGCAAAGUUAUACGGGGAGAGAGCUUGGCUAAUCAACAUCGCUUGUUGGUGAUGGAUGUACAUAUCAAAAGAGAGAGAAAAAAGAACAAGACUUGGAAGUGCCCAAGGACUAGAUGGUGGAAUCUAAAAGGAGAAAAACAAGCCAUUUUCAAAGAGACAGUAAUCACCCAAUGCGUGUGGGAUAGAGAGGGGGAAGCUAGCCAAAGGUGGGAUUCCAUGGCUAGUUGUAUCUGAAAAGUAGCAAAAGAGGUAUUAGGAGAGUCCAAGGGCUUUGCUCCACACCAAAAGGAAUCUUGGUGGUGGAAUGAGGAGGUACAAACAAAGGUGAAGGCUAAGAAGGAAUGUUGUAAAGCCUUAUACAAGGAUACGACCAAUGAAAAUGGUGAAAGGUAUAGAAAAGCAAAGCAAGAGGUGAAGAAAGCUGUGAGAGAAGCUAAGCUAGCGGCUUAUGACGAUAUGUAUAAGCGACUAGAUACCAAAGAAUGAGAGUUGGAUAUCUAUAAACUAGCUAAAUCAAGGGAAAAGAAGACAAGGGACCUAAACCAAGUGAGGUGCAUCAAUGAUGAGGAUGGAAAGGUUCUUGCUACAGAGAACGCGGUCAAAGACAGAUGGGGAGGUUAUUUUCAUAAUCUUUUCAAUGAAGGACAUGAAAGGAGUACUUCUUUAGGGGAGUUAAGUAACUCAGAAGAGUGUAGAAACUACUCCUUUUACCGCCAAAUUAGGAGGGAAGAAGUGGUUGUAGCUUUGAAAAAGAUGAAGCAUAGAAACGCGAUGGGCCCAAAUGAUAUACCGAUUAAAGUGUGGAAAGUCUUGGGAGAGACGGGUAUAGCAUGGCUCACUGACCUUUUCAAUAGGAUUUUGAAAACGAAGAAGAUGCCAAAUGAGUGGCGAAAGAGCACUUUGGUGCCUAUCUACAAGAAUAAGGGUGACGUACAAAAUUGCAUGAACUAUAGGGGUAUUAAGCUAAUGAGCCAUACAAUGAAGCUCUGGGAGAGAGUCAUUGAGCAUAGAUUGAGGCAAGAGACACAGGUUUCGGACAACCAAUUCGGAUUCAUGCCAGGGCGCUCAACCAUGGAGGCAAUCUAUCUCUUACGAAGAUUGAUGGAAAGAUAUAGAGAUGGGAAAAAGGAUUUACACAUGGUCUUUAUAGAUUUGGAAAAAGCGUAUGAUAGGGUCCUAAGAGACAUUCUUUGGAAGAUUUUAGAGAAGAAAGGAGUACGAGUAGCAUAUAUCCAAGCUAUAAAGAUAUGUAUGAUGGAGCAAGGACUGCCGUAAGAACUCAUGAAGGACAAACCAAAAGCUUCCCCAUAACUGUAGGGUUACAUCAAGGCUCAUCCUUAAGUCCUUACCUUUUUGCUUUUUGCAGUGGUAAUGGAUGAGUUAACAUGACAUAUUCAAGAUGAUAUUCCUUGGUGUAUGCUUUUCGCAGAUGAUAUAGUGUUGAUAGAUGAAACUCAGGAAUGGGUAAAUGUGAAGCUUAACCUUUGGAGAGAAGUGUUGGAUUAGGGGUGAGGAUCGGAGAUCAGGAAAUACCAAAGAGCGACCGUUUUUGCUACCUAGGAUCUAUCUUGCAAAAGAACGGAGAAUUAGAUGGAGACCUCAACCAUAUAAUACAAGCUGGAUGGAUGAAGUGGAAGGGUGCAUCAGGCGUGUUGUGUGACCGCCGUAUGCCACUGAAGCUCAAAGGAAAAUUUUAUAGGACGACAAUAAGGCUGGUGAUGCUGUAUGGCACAAAAUGUUGGGCGGUGAAGCAUCAACACGUACAUAAAAUGGGUAGCGAAGAUGAGGAUGCAUCGUUGGAUGUGUGGGCACACGAGAAAGGAUAAGAUUAGGAAUGAGGAUAUCCGAGGUAAAGUAGGAGUAGCCGAAAUUGAAGGAAAGAUGAGAGAAAAUCGGUUACGGUGGUUUGGACAUGUGCAAAGAAGGCCUACUGACGCUCCAGUUCGAAGAUGUGACUACGGGACAGAGGUUCGGGGCCGAAGGGGUAGAUGAAGACCUAGGAAAACUUUGGAAGAGACCCUAAGAAAAGACUUAGAGUACUUGGAUCUCACGGAGGACAUGACAGAGAACCGAGCACAAUGGCGUUCGAGGAUUCAUAUAGCCGACCCCACUUAGUGGGAAAAGGCUUUGUUGUUGUUGUUGUUGUACAAAAUUGUAUAAUCCUUUUGAAGCAGUGGGGAGCUGCGGUUUCACUCACGCUUUCAAAUUUUGACCACUCGCUCAUUGUAAUAUCUCUCUCUCUUUCUCUCUCUCCCUCCAUCCCUCCCUCCCUCCCCUAUUACAUUUGGGUUUUCUCCUGUUUCUCUUUUUGUUGAUCUAAUUUGUGGUGAAGCUGUUUAGUUUGCUUGAAUUGGAAUGUGGGUUUAAUUGAGUUUCCUUUUGUUUGUCAAUUCGAUUUUGGGAGGAUUGGCAUGUGGUUGUUCAGGCCUUUACAACCACUUUGUGUCUGGCAAAGGUAAUAAUAUUACUCUUCGUUUCAUAAGCUUCAUUUUUAAUGCCCAGAAAAAUUUGGAAUUGAGAACAUGAUGGGGUUUUAGGCAAUACCUAAGUUCUGUAAUUUUCCCCGUUUGUUGUUAUUAGCAAUUUCUUGAAUCAUGUUAGUUUGAUAGUGUUCUGCUGCCCAGGAUUUUUUUUUUGAAUUUAAAAUAUCAUGGGAUUGGGGUUUUAAGAUUUUAACAACAAUUGGUAAGAAUUUUGGUGAAUUUUGAUGCUCAAUGGACUUUGUUGAAAAUUUGGAAUUAAGACCAUGAUGGGGUUUUGGGCAAUACCCAAGUUCUGUAAUUUUCCCCGUUUGUUGUUACUAGCAAUUUCUUCGUUCAUGUUAGUUUGAUAGUUUUUUGCUGCGCAUAUUUUUUUUUUUUGAAUUUAAAAUAUCAUGGGAUUGGGAUUUUAAGAUUUUAACAACAAUUGAUAUGAAUUUUGGUGAAUUUUGAUGCUCAAUGGACUUCGUUAACAGCUUCUAACUUUGUUAUGCAUUGAAAUAUUGGUGGGUUUUCGUCAGAGUUUGCUUAUAUCUUUGUAUAGUAUGUCUGUUGUAUUAUCUUGUCACAGAUACCUUAGUUCAGUAACUUGAGAAGCAGGGGGAGAUAAUAGACUAAUCAAGGAGGUGCAUGUGAUAAACGAUAAACAAGUAAGCAUCAUCCUCUUCCUUCUUUUGUUAUGGUUGGUUGUAUAGAGAAUUGAGAAAAAAGUUGAAGACAAUUUUGCGCUUUUGAGUUAUAUCAAUAAAAUGACAUUGAUUAGUUCACUUAAGUGUUGAAUCAUUCGUUAGUUUAUCUGUGGUGUGUGCUUGAGAAUGAAAGCAAUGGACUUUAUAUGGAAUUGAUGUUCCUUUUAAUGUCACUAAAGAAAGGAGUUGUUCCUUUAUUAGCAAUUAUAUGAAGUAGGCAUAUUAUGCAAUACAAUGUCUACAAUCGACUAUUUUACUUUUUGUAUAGUACAACUGUUGAUCGAAAGCCACAGAAACUACCUAAAGGUCAAAGAACUGUUUGUGUUAGAAGAACAGAAUAUGGUGUAAAGCUUAAAUUUUGGGCACUUUUUUUCAAUUACAAUAACUUGCAUGAAAGUUCAAUUGGGUUUGUUAUGGUCUCCAAGAAUUUUGGUUUGUUUGGUUACUAAUUAAUUUAUGUGGUGGGAGUUUAGUUUUUCCUUUUCUGCCUAUUUAUCUAUGAUUCAAAAUGGACCGUACAAUUUGCUAUAUAUAAAUUUGUAAUAAAAAAGCUCGAAAAAGAGGUGAAUUAGAAACAGUGAUGAUAGAGUGAUGGAGUUGAGAAGUCAAGAGUUUACGGGGUUUACUUGAAUUUUUGUAUGAUGUCCCUGGUAUGUUAGAUCAUUGAGACUAACUGUCUAGUUGGUUAAUCACUAAUUUGAAGUAUUUAAAGUGUAACUUUCCUUUAAAUCCUUUUCCUUUUGUAUUUUCAUUGGAGCACAGAUAAAAUAUAUUUCUUUUAUCUUUUUCAACCCCAAACUUUCAUUGUCUUCUGAGAGUGGUCCAACUAGAGAAUUGGAUGACAAGUUUAGGUUUAAUACAUACUUGAGUUCCCACAAGGAAGAUGGUAUUUUAGAAGUUACCAAAUUGGACACUAAGGAUAGACUUCUUAAAGAUACUGCUACAGUACCCAAGCAGGAAGGAAUAGAACCAGAUAGACUAUUACCGCCCAAAAAUAAAUUGGCUAGGUUGUUUAGUUGACAGAGUUCAUACGGGAUAUGUCCUCCCAGUUCGUUAUCAUUCAAUACAAACCUUGGAGAUUUUGUAGCUGUCACACCCUGAUCCCGACAUACGUUCAGGAUCGAUACGUGACGUCACAAAAAACUCGUGUCUCUCACAUGCCCCGCCUCCAAGAUAUGGCAAAUUACAACUCGAGAAUCAAAUUGCAAAUAAAUUUUUCGUAUACUUUAGGGCUGCAUCUAACUUCCUCGUUAGACUGCCUACGUACCCUCAUUAGGGAUCAAGCCAUUCGUAGUUCGUUAUUCACUAAUUUAGACAAUUAUUCCAGUGCGUUCUAACAGGAAUACAUAACAUUUUGUAAUAAAUUAUUAGAACUUGACAUGCAUGACAUUACCAAGUUCCGGCUACAAAACAAACCAACAUACUGUUCAAAAUUCUCAUUCCAUCCAUCAUAUAAAUUCCAUAUUUUCAGCACGAUACUUCCAUUCACAACAUGUAACAUAUCAAAUAACCAACGAAGCACAUAAUAUUCUCAAGCCACAUUGAUCAACUAAAAAUAAUCAUAAUAAUAACAACCAUAACCAAGGUCAUUCCCCAAUCUCGUCAAUCAAUCAAUUCAUGAAUUAAAGAUACAUGAUCUUAGCAUUUAAUUAUGUUAAUCAAUGCAUGUAGUAACAUAUCAUUUCACAAUUUAACCCAGGGAACUCUAUAUAAUACCCUUCUUGGAUUAUGAGCAAUAACAUGGUAAAUCUAUUUUAUAUUCACAAGGUCUAAUGUGGAUAAUUCUCAUUCACUUGGAUCUAGAGUUCUAGACUAACCCUUUGGAAAUAUGUGAGAGUAAGGAUUCCGGACCACUUAACAGAAUCCAACCAAAUCGGGUUCCGGACCACUCAACGGAACCACCAUGUCAAUCGGUUUCUCGUAAUCUAUCCAGACCUGUUGUAUGUAGAAUCAGUGCCAUCGAUCACAGUUAUAAAUCUCAAAUAUAAGUUCAUAAAUAUGAAUACAUAGACAAGUCUUAAUAACUCUGAAGGAAUCACCCAGACAUCCAACGACUUUUAUAAUUCAAACCACAAGAUUCUCAAAAUCCAUCGUUCAUAUGUACAUUAAACGCUAGGGUUAGAGGAACGCAGUUGGGCUGAAGCCUACAUAAGUAACCAAACAGGAAUAAGUAACCAAACAGGAAGUGGCCCCCCAAAGUGGAUUAACCAAGCAAAGACACCCUUGAGAAAAUAACCAAGUAGACAGUGACCUCCCAAUGCGGAUUAACCAAGCACAGUCACUCAUAUAGCUGUUAGAAAGUGAUCACCCAAUGCAGAUUAACCAAGCAUGAUCACUCUUAAGCAUACAUGCCAUAAGAAUCGCCCAAUGCGGAUUAACCAAGCGCGAUCCAUAUAUAGUAUGGUCCCUCAAUGCGGAUUAACCAAGCAGGACCACUAUUGACCCCCCAAUGUGGAUUAACCAAGCAGGGUCAAAAUAACUAAGUAGGUAGAGACUCCCCAAUGCGGAUUAACCAAGCAGAGUCACACCUACAAAACUGUUAGGCAGUGAUCACCCAAUGCGGAUUAACCAAGCAUGAUCAUCCCUAAGUAUAAAUGGCCAUAAGGAUCGCCUAACGCGGAUUAACCAAGCAGGACCAUCCGUGUACCGCUGCUACAUGGUGCAGAAAAUUCAAUACACACAACUUACCCAUCAUUUACCCCCAUGGGUUACAACAUAAUCACCUACACCAACAAUUCUCAUGCCCACCAACUCAAAUGCCCCACAAGCAUAUAAGUUCUACAAAAAUACUUCUAAUAGGAAUCUACGAUCAUAUUGUCACAACAUUUAUCGGACUUACCCUUCACGUUACUAAAAAGAUAAUUAAACGCACAUAUAUCACAAUCAUCAUCCGUACACAAGCCAAUUCAUGUUUAAUAAACAUAAGUCUAUGGCUAAACAUAUAUAUAUAAAUCAUAUUUCAAUAGAAAUCCUAUUUAUAAGGCCAAUUCAUAUUCACAAUUGAUAUCAAUAUAAGAAAUUAAGAUAAUAAACAAUAUCAAAAAUAUUCAAGUCACUCUCCAACCAAUGUAGGCCCACUCGACUUCACUUAAGUCUCCCGUAGUACUAAUUUUUGUAUCCAGAACGUCUCGAGACAUGUUGACCAAAAGUUAAACUCGAUUUAGUAAAUUCCACAAUUCUACACAAUUCAAUACGGAAAAUCAGAGCAAACGGAUUUAUACCUAUGAACCAAAGUCCACAUUAUGGCCUAGAAACAACCUCAAUUUCACUCAAUUCGCGUCGAAACCCUAGAAAAAGGUGCAGUUCAAUUCAACGUCAAGCUCAAUUCCGCCGCCUCCAAUGUCGAUUGGGCUUUGUUCCUGGACUCCAAAGACACCUGAGGGUGGUGAUGGUUGAAGAAAAUCCCUUCGGAAAUGAAACGGAUUGCCCCGUGGCAAACACCCAAAUUGUUCUUCUUCACGAAAUUACCCCCAAAUUCCUUCAAAUUUUGGAUGAAAAUGGAAGAGGGAAUGGCGAGAUGAUGCUCGGGCAUGUUAAAUUGGUCCAAUUCGACGGAAAUCCGAUGGAAAACCAUCGAAAAAUAUGGAAAAAUGGGUUGGGUCGCGCGGGUCAAGGAGAAGAACCGUUUUCCCCCUCCUUCUCACCUUCCCUCCCUUCCCUCCUUUCUCCCUUUCUGAUUGGGCACUCCCUUUUCUCUCCCCCCUUUUCAUUGGUUCCUUUAACUCACAUAAAUAUCCUUUUCCUCUUCCCCACCAGAAGGGAAUUUAUAAUAAAUUUAAAAUCUAUAGAUUAGUAACACAACUUCAAAUGUCCGUAUCUAUACCGUUAUAAUCCGGACUCGCAAAUGGCUUUUGCCUAUGUGCUCGUAGUUUCAAAAUCUAUUUGAAUACGUUACUUGUGACCUUGAAAGGUCAACGAAUUUUAGAUAAUUACUUUCCAAACUUCAAAUUUCAUAACUAAUUUAAUUAAACUCUAAAUUCAAACAAUUUAAAAUAAAUUCUCGAAAAAAUAAUAUAAAAUCUCAAUAAUACAAAUUUGUAGGUGAUAACAGUGAAAUCCAAGAACGGGAUUUCACAAUAGCCUUUGUAUUGAAGUUGGAAUUGCUCUGCUCAACUGAUUAUUUCCCAAGCUUAAAUCUAUCAAGUUGUUGAAGUUUCCAAUAUCAACGGGAAUGUUACCCUUGAUGUUGGAAAUGCUUAAAUCAAUAGACUACAACAGUUUGAGUAUUUUACGACUUGAAAUAUACGGUGUACAAACGGGCAUGCCUUAAAUGAUAUUAUUCAUGACAUUCAUAAAGUUCAUGUCGUAAUACUUGCUCAUAAUCUCGCAUUCACGACAUCACUUUUAUGCUAGUCAUUAAAUAAAAAAAAAUUUAAGUGUUGUGUGGCAUAUUUGACAAUUUAUACGAUGCACUUUCCUUCUCUUUUAAGGCUUUAUGUUAUGUCGUAGAGUAAAUUUUCUAUAUAUUUGGGUAACUACGUUUUAUAGCACGAAUAACACGUCAUAAAUAAUGGCGUCUAACUUCCGCCUAAAUUUCUCACCCCGUGCGUUCUUUUAUUUUUCUUGAAUCAAGAUCUCACGGCUUCCUCAACAUCCCUUUAUUUUUCUUUAAUAAAUGAUGAACCGGUACCCAGCCUGGACUGUUGAUUUCAGAUCCAAAGAUAUUCAAUCUACACCUAUCUCAGGUUUUGUCUGUCUCUCUCUGCCUUUCUCACGCAGUCUCUUUCUCGACUUUCACUCUUUUCAUAUUCGUAUCUCCCAAUCCCAACAACCUCGAUAUCUCUCUCGUCUCAAACCACGGUACCACCAUCAUCUUGUGUCAACUCUCGACUCUUUCCCACCACCUGCACUUGACGGUCCUGACUCCUGACCACCAUCUAUGUUCCAAAUAAGGUAUGCAGUUAGGGAUUUAAGAUUGAAAUAAAUUGGGGUUUUCUAGAUUUAGGGAUUUGAAUUUGAAUUUAGAGAUUUGGAUUUCGUCAAUUCUGGAAUCAAAUGUUAAUUAUAAUUUGUUUAAUUUUUGGCAAUUUGAGUGCAAAAUUAGGGUAAUUAGUGCUGUAGUUUUGUUUUAGUUUCUGUCAUCUGUCAGUACAAAAUCACGGCUUUUAAUUUUCAGUUUACAAGUCAUCAUAAGGAAUAGAUAAUUCUAGAAUUAUAGUGCAAACUCUUGAUUUUCAGUUUUAGACUUGGUUAUGUUUCAAAAUUCUGAAUAGUUUUAAUUAUGGUGUUGGGGAUUUGUUAAUUUUGCUCUCUCUCUCUCUCUUUAUGAUUUGGUUGGGAUUGCAGAGUGACUUGUGUUUCUUUGUAUGCACGCCCCGGACAUCCAGGUCACAUGGGGUAACUCAGCAAGGUUCUACUUUUGCAAAGGAGAUGGAGUUGUUACAGACUUAUAGUGAUACUGCAAUCCAAAUAAUCUGUUUUGAAAAUCCAAAUAAUCUGUGAGUAUGUUGUAGUAGUAGAAUAACACUGUGGGGCUUUAGCCUAGUACUUCAAUUAUUGACUUUGUUGCUUAGCCUAGUACUCUGUGAGUCUGUUAUAGUAGUAGUGUAGUACUUUGUUUAGUUUGUACUAUUGGAUAUUGGAUAAAAAUGAUAAUUUGAUUGAGUUCCUUUGGUAUGAUUUAUAUUCACUUAUUUAUUCUAUUUCUUUUUACUAUUUUUCAGGUAGCAUUCAAGUCUUUGGUGAAUUUUUAAAUGAAGAGGUUGCAAAUGCAACGGUAACGAGUGGAAAAGUUUAUACUUAAUUUUAUUAGUAUUAAAGUCUUUAUCAAUUUCUCAGUUAACAUUUUGUUUUGACUAGCUCUUAACUUACCAAUCGAAUCCAUCUCCUUUGACUAGCUAGAGUAUCUUGGUUGGGAAUUCUAUCCAUUCCCAGCGCCUAGUUUCCAAAGACGAAGUUGAGACAGGUUGGGAACUCUCUCUUUCUCUCCUUUUGUUUUAGUUCCCAAUAAAGUUGAUUGGAUUGAAGAAAAUAGAACAAUAUGAUUAUUAAUGAAAUUAUUGUAUUAUAGUAAAUGUGUAAUUUUGUCGAUUCUUUUAUAUAUAUAUAUAUAUAUAUAUUUAUAUAUUAAAAAUUAAAAUUAAAAUAAAUGUAAGUUACUGUAUGCAAAAUCAGCAGUAAUUGUUAAUGCUAGUCUUCGUUUACGAUGAACGACGUAUGCCGUAAUUGGUUUCACAGUGUUACGACACUCAACAAACGCGGUAUCAAAUAUAAAUUACGGCACACAGGCAUGCCGUAAUUGUUUUUGCAAUAUUAUGACACUUCAUUAACGUUGUAUCUAAUACCAAUUAAGACGCGCAACGCACGCCUUAAAGGGCAUUUACGACGUGUUUUGCUUAAAUUAUUCAUGGCUACUAGAGAACGUUUUUUUACAAAAACAUAUUUUACGGCAGGGGUUUUUACUGCUUGGGGACUCACGCCAUGAAUAAUUGUUUACAACGCUCUUUGUGCGCCGCAAAAGACCAAUCCUGUUAUGUAACAAAUGCUCAUUUUUCUUUUGCACUCUUUUAUGAAUUUCAUUUGGAUGGGAAUGGUUAGGUGACAUUACUUGUUACACCAAAAAAGGUCUGGUUUUGGUAUAAAAGCUUAACUGCAAAAAGGCAUCUGAAAGGUUUCGUUUAGCUACUAAGAAAGUUUGGGAGGGGCCAAACGUCUUAGGUUGAGAUUACAUAUACAAGGGUGUUAGAUUUACAUAAUGGGUUUACAUAAUGAGUUGUUGAUGACUACAUACGCAUUGAGAAUUUAGCUUUUGUCUUUGUGUCUGAUGAGGUAGUGGUUUUUUUUUUUUUUUUUUUUUUGGUGUCAUUCCAUUUUAAUCUUAGUUCCAUUUAAAUGAAGACAUUUGAAGAACCUAAUGUAAAACAUCCGUACAAGCAAAACACAUCUUAGCAACGCCAAUAAAAUCAUCUACGAGAGUUGAUCCAAUCCAGGCAGGCCGCAUUGGCGGGGGGGGGGGGGGGUUAUUGAAGACAAAGUUGCCGAGAUCCAUAUUAAAACUCCAAUUUUGCAACUGAUGAGCAACACAAUUCCGCUCCUUGGAAACAUGCUUCAUGCUUCAGGUCAGCUCACAUCUAACCAAUUGACUCAUCAAUGUUUUGCAUCUACUCACAAUUGUAUCAAGAGGAUAAUAGCUCUCAACCAAAUUUUGUUAGAACAAAGUGACAGCAAACACCUUUGUCAAUAAAAUUUCUGUGUCCCAAAUUGACAGAGAACUCCACCUGCACCAAUCUUGAACCAUCAAUAUUAUACCAACGAAUAUUAGGAGGUUCCCAAGCAAUGGGAGCAGCCUUCUAUUAGGUUUAUGGGGGAGAACCAACUCAAGCUUUCACCCAGUUCUUGACAUUUUGCGUGUUUACUAACAAGCAUGGAAUCUGAAGGGCUAGUUGAUUCGUAACUCAAUACUUGAAAAUUAGGAAUCAAAUCAAAAUGUUUAUUUUUUAUUGAUAACACAUUUGCAUAUUUAGUUUAAAAUUUUGGUUACCUGUAUUAUCCUAAUGCAAAUAUCUUUUGACAAAUAAAAAAUACAUACAAUGAUAAUUUUGAGUGGUGAUAUCCACACUAGGGGUGCAACUUGAGUUAGGCCAAUCCGAACUCGCACAUGUCCAACUCGACUUUAAACCCGAACAAGAAGGUUUUUUUUUUUUAAGUUAUAACCCGCCCGAACGUAACCCAUUUCAACUCGUUCAUUGAUUGGGUUAAGUUGGGUUGAUCAUUUGUGUGAAAUUCUGUUCCUAGAUUUCACUGUUAUAAUCUACGUAUUUGUAUUAUUGAGAUUUUAGAUUAUUUCUCGAGAAUUUACUUUAAUUUGUUUGAAUUUAGAUUUUAAUUAAACUAGUUACGAAGUUUGAAGUUUAGAAAUUAAUUAUUUAAAAUCAUAGACUUUUCGAGGUUAUAAUUUAUAUCUUCAAAUAGAUCUCCAAAGCACGAACGCAUAGGUGAAAGCCGUUUGCAAGUCCGGAUUAUAACGGUAUAGUUACGGACAUUUGAAGUUGUUUUACUAAAUUAUAGAUUUUAAAUUUAUUUUAAAACUCCCACCUUGUGGGAAAGGGACCAUUGAGAUAAAAGGGUGAGGGACCAAUUAGAAAGGAGGGAUGUUUCUUAAAUAAAUAAAAAAAAAAAAGAGGGAGGAGGUCUGAUUCUAACCCGUUUUGGGGGGAGAUUGGACUCGUUAACCCACCAACUUGACCCACUUGUAUCUCCUCUGUUCGAGCUUCGUUUUGGGUGAUCUUGGUGUCCAUGGAAAGCUCUUGACGAGCCCUACAUCUCUGUAGUGUUAGAUUUCCCAUUUUCUUUUCCAUCUUUGCAGUUCGAAGCCACAAAGCUCACGACUUUUUCGGCGAUUUUAUCAUUUUUCUGGUGAUUCCGGCAACCAUUUCCUUUGAUUGAGGUAUGAAACUUCAUCUACUCUUCAUAAUCUUCAAGUUGGUAUGCUUAGUUUGUGCUUUUGUAUUCAUUUUAGAGUUAGGUGUUUAGAACCCUAGAAAUCCGGUUUUCUUCGAUGAAUUUGGACGGUUUCCGGUUAGAAUUUAUUGUCGGCCUAGAUGUGAAGUGUUUCCUUUGUUGAGCUCUAGCUACCACGUAAAUUUGAGCUCACUUAGUUAAUGUUGAAAAUUCAGGUUUUCUAAACCCUCCACCUUGGCUACCACCACGUGUGGCGGUGCGUGGGACGGUCUACGAGUAUUGUCUAAGUACCAUAUACCUUCUAGUGACCCUAUGAACCUAUGUCUAGCUCGGUUUCCUGAAAUUCAAUUGUUUGGUGUGGUGAUUAAAUUGGACCACCACUUGUUUGUGUGAUUGAUAACAAUCCGAUCGUUGGAUCGUCGUACAAUUUUGUGAGCACCCUAGUUAUCAGUUGUUGGACCUUUGAGAACUUAUAGAUCGGAAAUCCAAUGUGCAAAUCUUCCGGAUUGAAUAACCUUAGAUUGUUGACCUUAAUGGACCUACCUUAUCGACGGUUGACGUUCUAGUCAACGUGCUCUACUCUAGAGUGUCGUUUAUCUCUAGUUUGUUGUUGAGGCUUGAUGGAGCUUAGUUGGCUCAUUACGAUGACGUGUUGUUCCCAGUUGACGUGUGUCUCGAUAUAUGUAUUAGUGGGACCAUAUUGAGUUAUACUUGUUUAUUAAAUGUGCUUUCUAUUGAAUUGUUAUUUUUAUUUUUAGCAUUGAUCUAUGUUUAUUAAUUGUGAAUCGACUGUAGCUUGGAAACGUUUAUGAAAUGUGGUUAGAUAUGUAUGAUUAGUAUGAUGUGUAUGAUUGUUUUUAUGACAAUGUGAACCCAGAAUCUUAUGAGAAGUAUUAUGUAGAACCUUUAUGCUUGUAUGAUAAGAUAGUGGUCAUGAGAAGUUGAUAAUGCAAGUGAUUACGAUGUAAAUCAUAGCAGAUGAGUUAAGGGUAAGUGGUUUGUGUGUUGAUCUAACUGCAUCAUGUAGCAGUGGUACAUGGAUGGUCCUGCUUGGUUAAUCCGCGUUGGGGGACCAUACUAUAUAUGGAUCGCACUUGGUUAAUCUGCGUUGGGCGAUCCUUCUGGCCAUUUAUACUUAGGGGUGAUCAUGCUUGGUUAGUCUGCAUUGGGUGAUCACUGCCUAACAGUUCUAUAGGUGUGACUCUGCUUGGUUAAUCCGCGUUUAGGGGUCACUACCUACUUGAUUAUCUUGACCCUGCUUGGUUAAUCCCUAUUGGGGACCAUACUAUAUAUGGACCGCGCUUGGUUAAUCCGCGUUGGGCGAUCCUUAUGGCCAUGUAUGCUUAGGAGUGAUCAUGCUUGGUUAAUCCGCAUUGGGUGAUCACUUCCUAACGGCUGUAGAAGUGACUCUGCUUGGUUAAUCCGCAUUGGGGGGUCACUGCCUACUUGGUUACUUCCUCAAGGGUGGCUCUGCUUGGUUAAUCCGUUUUGGGGGGCCACUUCCUGUUUGGUUACUUAUGUAGGCUUCGGCCGAACUGAGUCCCUCUAGCCCUAGUUUUUUUUGGAAUCUUGGUGGUUUGAAUAGGAAAAGUCGUGGGAUGUCUGGGUGACUCCUUCGGGGUUUUCAGCUACUUGAUUAUGAUUUCAUAAAGCAUGAUUCUAUACUCGAUGUUUAUAGAUCGGGAUCGAUGGUAUGGUUUUUAUUGAAUAUCACAUAAUUGUAUUAUUGUCACUCGCCCGAGCUUCGCAACUUAACCGAGUUCUGAUUUGCCAGUGCACCAUUCCCUUGAUGUAGGCACUGAUUUUACAGAUGACAUGUCUGGGUAGAGUACGAGAAACCGUUUGGUAUUUUGGUUCCGUUGAGUGGUUCGGAAUCCUUGCUUUUGCUUAUUCCCAUAAGAUUAGUCUAGAACCCUAGAUUCGAGUGAAUGGGAAUUACCCACAAUAGACCUUGUGAAUUUAUAUACCAUGUUAUUACUCAUAACUCAAGUAGGGAAUUAUAUAGAGUUCUCUAAUUGAAUUGGUGAAAUGGUAUGUUAUCUCAUUGGUUGAUUAAUAUAGUUAAAAGUUAAAAUCGUGCAUCUUUGAUUCAUGAAUUGAUUAAUUGACGGGAUUGUGAAAUGACGUUGGAUAUAGUUGUUAUUAAUAUGAUUAGAUUAAUUAAUGAAUGUGACUAGAGGAAAAUAUUGUGCUUGGUUGAUCCUUUGAUAUGUUACAUGCUUGGAUUGCGAUAUUAUGUUGAAAACAUAGUGAUUUAUAUGAUGGGUGGAAUGGAAACCUUGAAUGUCAUGUGAGUUUGUUAUGUAGGCCUAAACCUAGUAAUUUCAUGCUUGUUAAUUCUAACAAUUGAUUGAGAAAUGCUAUGCUUUUUGAUUUGACGUACUGUGAUAAAAGUCGGUGUGUAGUGAAUGACGAACUACGAAUGGCUUGAUCCCUAUUUAGGGUACGUAGGCAGUCUAACGAGGAAGUUAGAUGCAACCAUAAAAUGUACGAAAAAUGCUAUGAAAUUUGAAUCUUGAUCUAUACUUUGUACAUAUCCCGGAGGCGGGGUAUGUUAGAUAUACGGGUAUUUGGUGAUGUCACGUGUCGAUCCUGGAUGUAUGUUGGGAUCGGGGCGUGACAAUUUGCCCGUCCAUCUCCAACCCGAUUAAUUAAACCCAAUCUAACAAGAUUGUAAAUCAUAUCAAUUUAUGCUCAUACUACAUCCAAGUGGGCCAAGUCCAAAAAUAAGAAACUUUGAUUAGUUAGCUCAUAUUCAUAAUCUCUAAAUCCUAAAGCUUUAUAAUCAUUAGUCUCCAAAACCUAAAUUCUUUGUGUUUCGAAGCAAUUGCUCAUCAACUUUGAUUUAUUUAUGAAAUUAAAGUUAACUAGCUUUGAUGCUACUUGGCUUAAUUUUUUUAGGAAUUCUUGCAAACUAAGUUAUUACAAUAUUACACUCAAAAUAGUUGGGCAACCCCGAACCCAACCAAGUAAACCCGAACCCAAUUAAACCCGAGCCCAAAUGAACCCGAAUGAAACUCAACCCAAGCCUGAAUUGUAAAAAUUGGGUUAGGAUUGGGUUGACCUUCCAACCCGUCCAACCAGCCCGAGUUGCACCGCUAAUCUAUACACUCAUUUUUACUUUUCACACACCUCUAUUAUUUCCUGACUGUCGAUCAAUUGAAACAGUCAAAUGACAUAAAUUAAUAAGUGAUGUGUGAGAAGUAGAAAUAAGUGUGCGAAGAUGCAACAAAACUAAACAGAUACCCAAAAAUACCACAACACAGAGUCGGUCAGUACAUUUCAGUUGCAAAUGAAAAUUAUAAACACUGGGAUUUGCUCUCUCUAUCGCUAAGAGAUUCUCUGUGAUCGAUAGCAAUGGCGGACAAUGGCAGUCGUCUGCAAAUGCACAACAGCGAGGAGGAGCUUCUUCUGCUUCAGAGAAGUCAGUUUCGACGACAAGCCCGACCACCGAAACCUCCUCCGAAACGUUUCGACUCUUCCCGUCUUUAAAAAAGGCCUCUUCACUCGCUGCAGCCCAUCCCUUGCCGGAAACAGUAUUCUCAGGUUUAUCUCACACAAUUACGUUUUUUUUUCCGUUUUCUUUUUAGUUGCACUGUCUGUUUGGUUCCCGAGAAAACGCAGGAAAAUUUAUAAAGUUUUGAGCUUCUGUAGGGUUUACUGAAGUGAAUACUUGACUAGGUUCAGUUGGGUUGCUGAUGAAUUCAAACAAUGAAAUUUAGACGUGAAUGCUUUUAAUUGAUUUGAAGAGAAGUUUCUGAGCUAGUUUAUUGCUUUUGAAUGUUCAAAUUGGAUCGUAUAAAUGUGUCUCUGUGAUAAUUAGAUGAUUUGUUGCUUGCAGUAUGGAUGCACGAGAGAAUUCGAGGUCCUCGAUAUUGUCAUCAUCCCUAGAUAAGAGAAUUCCCAUAUAUGUGAUGAUGCCUAUUGAUGCCUUCUGCAUUGAUGGUACGGGGCGUCCAAGGAUUAGGAAGUAAGUUUUAUUAUGACUGUCUGUUGAUGAGGCUAUGAUGCAUUUUCAUUCUUAAUUUAAUUGUUAUACUCUUUUAAACGACGGAGUUUGAUUAGCUACAAGGUUGUAGCUAACUAUUUUGAUCUCUUCCCAAUUCAAGUUAUAUAUACGUACGUUUCAAAAUGGUUCUAAAUUUAUUUAUUUUUAAUUUAGUUUCCUUUCAAGUGAGACAGAAUCUCCUUAUAUAUUGCUCGAUUUAUUGUUGUUUCAGAAUCAAGGCCUUAACUGUAGCUCUAAAAAGCACUCAAGUUGGCAGGUGUCCACGGAAUUGCAGUUGAGGUUUGGUGGGGAAUCGUAGAGCGUUUCUCUCCUCUUGCAUAUGAUUGGUCUCUAUAUGAAGGGCUUUUCUAACUGAUUUCUGACUCAGGUUUGAAGUUGCAUGUUGCCUUGUCUUUUCACUCAAAUGUUAACUCUUCUUCUAGCAGAAAAGGGGGUGUAACUCUUCCGCCUUGGAUCAUAGAGGUUUGUUUUCUCUGCAAUUUUGAAAUCCCAUUUGACUGUUUGGCCUUUAUUGGUAAAGUGCACAUGGCAGUACUGGAAUGCUUAAUUUACCCAGUCAUACUCUAUUGUGACAAGAGUAUGAACUUUUCUUCAGUUUCCUGCUCUGCAACAUGCUAUGGUCCUGUGUUCCCCAUUAGCAUACUUGAUUUUAGCUUUGAUGUGCAUAAAAAGUUUAUCUUUGCAAAGGGAUGUAACAUAAAAACGAUAGUUUGGCCUUCAUAACAUGCCCAUCAGUUUGAAUCCUGAAUUUAGAUAAAGAAGUUGACUUCUUCUGUUUUUUUUCCUCCCAGAUUGGUGAUCAGAAUAAGCAUAUAUAUUAGGGGGACCAAAAUGGAUUUUCCAAUGAUGAUUAUCUUACACUCGGAGUUGACCAUGUUCCUCUCUUUUGCGGCUGGACUGCUCUCCAAUGAUAUGAAGAUUUCUUGUCAAGUUUUGCUAAGAAAUUUGAAUCCUUAAUUGGUACUGUGAUAGAAGAAAUUAGUGUUGGUCUUGGUCCUUUUGGUGGACUUAAGUAUGUUACUGUUACACUAGAACCACAAGUAUGAAGCCAGUCCAAUGAUUUCUUAUGCAACAUUGUUACAUUGCUCACACAGAUAUCCUGCACAUCCUUUUGGUGAUGGUAGAUGGAAGUUUCCUGGAAUCGGUGAAUUCCAGUGCUAUGACAAGUGCAUAAAAGGUCGUACCCAGUGCACAAGGCUCCCGCUUUACGCAAGGUCUGGGAGAGGUGAAUGUCGGCUAGCCUUACCCCCAUUUAUGAAGAGGCUGCUCCCAAGUCUCGAACCCGAGACCUACCGCUCAUGGGCGAAGGCACUUGCCAUCGCACCAAGUGCGACCUCUGCUAUGACAAGUGCAUGUAUGCUAAAAAUCUUUCAUUCCUGUGACAGAAAUUUGGAUGCUAUUGAACUUUUCCUAUUUACAACGUUGUUCCUUUUCGGAUGGGCGACCUAAAGAUGGCUGCAGGCAAGGAAGGAAAGCCUCAGUUGGGAGAGAAGGGACCACAAAAUGCUGGCUGUUACAAAGUCUCCCAUCUGAAGUUCCAUUCUUUGAAGAGGGAGAGGAAAGCAUUCUUUCUGAUUAUGGGUGUUUUUUCCUUGUAUGAAACUGAUGGACGCAGCUUGCUUUAUUAUUUCCCAUGAAAAAUUUCUGCAUAACUGAAGCCUAGUGUAAAGUGCACGAAAUCAUUGUUUGUAUUUCAUCCUCGAACUACCACAUUGUUUCUUUAGCCAGGAAACACUUCUGUGUAGGUGCCUGUAAACAAUGCCUGCAAUAUAUAUUUUCAAUCUUUAGUGGAACUUUUCUUAAAACUAACUCUAUUUGCUUCUAGGGGUUAUACUUGCAGACUGUUUGCUACUGGAGUCUUAAAUACUCUUACGCAACAUGAUUAAAAGUAGAUGUGUUUUAAUGAUUUAAUAUGAAGUCAUGACAAUGGAAUGGGUUCUUAAGACACUGCACUAGGUUAGAUGCAAUUUGAUUAAGAAUGAAAUGCAUUGAUGCUUGUCUUCUGGAAAGAAAAAAAAUCGUCAUAGGAUGUACUGGUUAGUAAACUAAGGACAAUUAUGGAUGUAUAAGUGGAAAUUUAAAUCAUGUCUGGUUCUUUAUCAUGCAAUACUUGGCAUAACAUAAUUAAACUUAUUGGAAAACAAUGUGGAGCUUAGGAGAUCUGACAGUGGCUUGACUUGUUGUAGGAAUGGUACAGUGGUCGGUUGCUCCAUCAUGCAGAUGAUAGUCAUGCAAAGGCAGCUAACAUUCUGAAGAAAUAUCAAGAAUAGAAGCAAACUUCUAUUCUAUUGGCAGCUAAAAUUGGUGGUACCAGACGAGAGCACACCCUGCUCAAUUGACAGCUUGAUACUACAACAGUGCUCUUAGAGAUGGUUAUGAUCAUGUAGCUUCAAUUUUGUCUCGUCAUGCUGCUUUGCAUGUUUCGUAAGAUUCCAAGUUUUAAGGUUUUGACUGGAAUUUUGUUCAUUGUCUAACCUGAUAAUUAAGGUUGCUUACACAUUCGCUUGAUUUCAAAUGUAUCUAUUCUACCAUGUUCACGUACUAAAUAUUUUAUUGCAGCAGCUUAAAAAUGAUGGAUGGUGAUAACCCGGCAUCCUAUCUUUGCAGUCCAGAAGGAUUACUCCAACAAGUACGGGGCCUGUUAAUUAAUAACGCUUCCUUAGCUUGUUGCUUUGUUGGUACUUUUUUUUAACUUACUUUAGAAAUUUUAUCCGUAUAAUUCAAGCUUUUGAGUUAGGUAGGACUAACCCAUGCAGCUGUGCUUGUCACAGCAGGUCGUGCAGGGUCUCUAGGUUCAACAUGGGCUUGGAACGGGCCAAUAUGAGCUUUUUCAGUAUUACAGAUAUUGGGUAUUAUUGAUCUGUUUUUUAGGCUUCUUUUAGUAUCUUAUAAUUCAUUCUGAAGUAAAUCUUUAGUUUUAAUUGGGUUGUCUUGCCCAGAUAAUAAAGAAGAAACAUAUGACAAGUUGAUCAAUAACCAUUUUUCUAUUUUAUUGAAGUUUGGAAUACAAUUGAUAAUUUGAUAUUACUAAACAACAAAAAUAGAAUUGCAUCACUAUACCGUAUAUUAGUGUUGUACUACUUUAGAUUGGCAUGGUCUGUCCAUUUACCCCUGUGGGUGGUGGUAGUGCCUAGUGGUGGCUUCUGUUGUCUACAAUUCUAUCAGUCAAUUGGUUUCUUCGAUAAAAUGUCUGGCCUUAUGCUUUGUUUAUUGGGUAUAUAUCAUAUUAUACAAUUCCAAUGUAGUCUAACAUGAUUCGAUUUGCACCAGAUAUGGAGUGUUUCAAAGAAAAGGGUACAUUUGAUCGGUAGAAAUACCAAUGAAGGAUUUGACAGGGUAAGUUCUUCCUUUCCUCAAGAGCAAAAAAUUUCAGCUACCAUUUAUUUCUAUUAGACAUAUAUUGGAUAUUGCAAAUGUCUUAUAACUAGAAACACAUGGCUUCUGAUAGGCUGAUAGCGUUAGUUAAACACUUCUUCUUUUGCCCAUUCUGCGUUGCUUGUUCACACGUCUGCUUUUCUCUUGCACGUUGGUUUAUGGCAAAUACAUACUAACUAUUACCAUUCCCAGGCCGAAGCUGUAAGAUCAUUUACAUAUUUCCGAAUGAAUGAUAAGAUCUUUAGGCCUGAAAAUUGGAGUAAUUUCGUUCCUUUUGUUAAAAAGAUGAGCACAAAUUGGUGAAGCAGCCAAAAAACCCAACUUAAAUAGUAAAUUUAUUGAUCUAGAGUAGCAGCUUCACUGCCCUAUAAUUUUUUGUCAAGGGCAUGUGUAGAAGUUUAGAAGUUUGUCACUUCCUGAUAUAUUGACUGAAAUAACUGUGUUUCCAUGACAGGCGUUCUUGACCUGGAAGUGUAAAUUUUUGAAACGGAUUUGGUUGGCCGUACAAACUAAACGCUUUACUAUCAAAAUAUGAGAAGAAUAAUCGGAAUUGCAAUCUUGGUACUACUGGUCAAAUACAGGUACAACAUUUCACCUUAAGGAAUAUCCACAUCCUGUCAUAUCUGUCACUAUACAAAAAUAAUGUAGUCUUUGCAGAUUGAAAACAACAAUAAGAAAAUGGAUCCGAAAAUAUAGAGAACGAAAAGAACUAAGAGUUCACUCCUUCACAGUCCUUCAAAUACUUCGUCUUGAUUUUGGUGAGUGUGAUUGCAACAUCUUUCAUGUUAAUCCUCGCUCUCGGCAAUGCUGCAGUGCAAGCUAGAGCUAAUCUCAUAACGGAUGAUAAGCAAUCCCUCCUGCUCACGAAAUCACCAUCUUCCUCCGUCCCAAGUAUAUCGGCAUCCAUAACUUCAUCUAUAGCAGCAUCUGGAAAUAAUGAAUCUGCAAUCCAUUGCUUUAAAUUCAUUUCCCCAACGAACAUCUUGUCUGUUGGCUUCCUUUUUGUGAAUGUCUCCAUGAGUAAAAUACCAAAACUAUACACAUCCCCACUCGUCGAAAUGCUUCCUUCGAUCCCAAACUCUGCAAAAUUUGUAUGUUAAUUUAGUUAUAUAUGAUAAAAAGAAAAUUAUAACUCCUAAUAAGACCAACAUAUUCAAAAUUGAGAAAAUACAUCACCUGGAGCCAUAUAUCCAACUGUGGCUAGAGUCAUGGUUUUUGUCAUCGAAUAUCCACCGCCGAUGAGUCUUGCAAUGCCAAAAUCAGCAACAUGUGCAACCAUAUCAUCAUCUAGUAGUAUAUUGCUUGGUUUCACAUCACAAUGAACGAUAGGUAUCUUGUAACCAUGAUGAAGAUAUUCUAGUGCCAAUGCAACAUCUUUCAUUAUGUCUAACCUCUGCAGGAUAGUAGUGGAGCAGUUUGGAGAAUACAAUCACUUUUCGAGGCUUCCAUUAGGCAUCAAUUGAAGUAUCAGGGUUUUGAAAUCAAGUUCAUCACAGCAACUUAUGAUUUUAAUAAGAUUCCGAUGACGGAUAUUGCUUAGCAUUUCACAUUCCUUAUCAAAACUCUUGAAUGCCCCUUCUAGCUGUAAAUUGAAAACCUUGACGGCGAUAUCUAUCCCAUCUGAAAGUGUUCCUUUGUAUACUGAGCCAAAACCCCCCGUGCCAAGUGAGUUAGUCUCAUGAAAUCCAGUUGUCGUCUUUACAAGUUCUAGGCGCGAAACUCUUCUCCAAGGAACUUGAAUUAGUGAGGCAGUUUCUCUUACAACUUCAACAUUCCUUUUCCUGCCUAGUAUCAGAAUUAGUGCAGCAGCUGCUAAGAGUAUUACUGACAUGACCCUAGAGAUGAUAUAUUUAGCUUUCCUCCAAUUUGGCUUAACUUCUGUUUUAUAUAUGCACAAUGGAACGUGGAGUUGGGAAGCACCGCAGAGCGCAUCGUUUGAUACAAAUGAAUCAGCAAAGAAGUUUCCGAAAGGCCCGCCUGUUGGAAUUUCUCCUUGGAGUUUGUUGAAAGACAAAUUCAGAUGCUUGAGAUACAAGAGUGCUUCCAAUGACUUUGGGAUCACUCCAGAUAGAUUGUUUUUGGACAAAUCCAAGAAUUCUAGGCUCAGCAAGGUUUUCAAUGAAGUGGGAAUAGGGCCUUCUAAAUAAUUGUUUGCCAAGGACAGAUUAAUCAUAUUUUGAAGACCACCAAUGCUACUGGGAAUGUUUCCGGAGAAAUGGUUAUUUGACAAGUCCAUAUUCAGCACAUUUUUCAACUUUUCGAUGUCUUCCGAGAGUGGUCCAACUAGAUAAUUGGAUGACAAGUUUAGGUGCAAUAUAUACUUAAGUUCCCACAAGGAAGAUGGUACUUUAGAAGUUAAGAAAUUGGACCCUAACAAUAAUUUUCUUAGAGCUACUGCCAAAGUACCCAAGCAGGAAGGAAUAGAACCAGAGAGACGAUUACCAUCCAAAAGUAUCUCUGCUAGGUUGUUUAGUUGAUAGAGUUCAUAUGGGAUAUGUCCUUGCAGUUCGUUAUCAUUCAAAUACAAAGCUUGAAGAUUUUGUAGCCUUUGUAUUGAACCUGGAAUUGCUCCACUCAACUGAUUGUUUCCCAGGUUUAACGAUAUCAAGCUGCUCAAGUUGCCAAUAUCUACUGGAAUGUUGCCCCUGAUGUUGGAACUCAUUAAACCCACAUAUAGGAGUGAUGUAGAGAGAUUCCUGUGAGAAGCUGGAAUCGUGGUGUUUAGUGGAUUGUCUCCCAAGGAUAAUCUUGUCAAAUUUCUAAGAUUAAACAAGCAGGAGAGGGUGCUUGCUGUUUGUGGAGUAGAAGCAUCAUUUGUCAAACUAUUCGAGAACAAGGAAAGAAACUUGAGGUUUUUCAAGGAACAGAGCGUGCUUGGAAGAAACCCGGUAAAUGAGUUUGUGUUCAUGUCUAGCACCCUGAGCUUGGAAGCAUUGGAGAGGUUAGGGAGUAGUCCGGACACGAGGUUAUUUGCGGCUACACCAAGGAAUUCUAGGUUUGGAGCGUUAAGAGUUAUGUUUGCUGGGAGGCUACCUGAGAGAUGAUUAUAAGAAAGAAAUAUUAUUCUUAUCAUGGAGAGAUUGAAGAGUUUGGAUGGGAUGACGCCAUUGAGAUUAUUAAUACCUAGUGACAAAGCCUCUAACUGUGGAAAAUCACCAAUCUCAUCUGGUAUUGCACCUGCCAUAAUUUCAACACGUUUGCAUUAAAUUUUUAACUUCAGUUUAACUAAAAACUAAAAACGAAAUGAUUAUCAAAUAGUCUUAAAUUUACUACCUGUUAAAUUAUUGUCAGCAAGAUAAAUCUCGGUUAAGUAGGUCAAAUUGCCAAGACUUUUGGGUAUGCUUCCACGGAAAUUGCCAAGACUUUUGGGUAAUUUAGUAAUUACAUGAACAUAAAUUUUGUUGUUAUUUAGGGCAACCUCCAGCCAGGUCACCAUAGCAUGCCAUAUUUAAAAUUUAAAAAUAAAAUAAAAUAGUAAAUAAAAAACAUGCCUACUUUAAAAGAAACUGCUCAUCAUUUUUCCAUUUUUUUAUAAGGGGUGUGUUAUCCACACAUCCAUUUUUACUUCUCACACACCUCUUGUUAAUUUAUGUCCGUUGAUCUUCUUCAUUUCAUCCGAUCUGAUGGCCAAAAAUUAGAAGGGUGUGUGAAAAGUAGAAAGGGGUGUGUGGAUAUCACAACCCUUUUUAUAAUUGAUAUAUUUUUUUAGAAUUUUUAAAACUAAUCACACUUCACAGUAAAAAAAAAAAAAAAUGAAAUGAAAUUAUUCACACUGUGUUAUGUUGCCUAUUUCUCUGGGUAUGUUACCUGUUAUGUGCAUGCAUUCCAACAAAAAGGAAGGAAAAAAAAAAACAAACGAGAUGAUUGUUAUACAUCUUAUAUAUAGAUGUUAAAAUGAAGCAAAGAUGUUAAAUGUUAUCAUGAAGCAAGCAACAUUAAUUUAUAUUCCUAGGUGGUUGGUAAUGGUGCUACAUACGUACCUGAUAGUUGGUUACUACUCAGAACAAUUUUUUCGAGUGCAGAUAAGUUGCCUAUUUCUCUGGGUAUGCUACCUGUUAAAUAUGUGCAUGCAUGCCAACAAAAAAGAAGGGAAAAAAAAAACAAACGAGAUGAUUGUUAUACAUUUUAUAAUAUAGAUGUUAAAAUGUAACAAAGAUGUUGAAUGUAAUGAAGCAAGCAACACUAAUGUAUAUGCCUAGGUGGUUGGUAAUGGUGCUACCUACGUACCUGAUAAUUGGUUAUUACUCAGACCAAUUAUUUCGAGUGCAGAUAAGUUGCCUAUUUCUCUGGGUAUGCUACCUGUUAAAUAUGUGCAUGCAUUCCAACAAAAAAGAAGGAAAAAAAAAAUGAGAUGAUUGUUAUACAUCUUAUAUAUAGAUGUUAAAAUGAAACAAAGAUGUUACCUGUUAAAUUAUUGUUAUGAAGAUAAAUCUCGGUUAAGUAGGUCAAAUUGCCAAGACUUUUGGGUAUGCUUCCACGGAAAUUGUUAUACCCUAAUUUCAAUUCACGAAGCUCUUUGCAUAGCCACAGUUUGGAGGGAAUAAGACCGUCAAACUGGUUUUGACCCAAAUUAAUUAUUUGAACACUCGAAAGAUGCUCACAUAUAUUGUCCGGAAGAUUGCCACUCAUGUUGUUCCCGAAUAGAACCAAAGCAGUCAAAGAAGAUAUGUUGAGGACAGGCACAAAAGCAGAGCCUUUUAGGGCAUUGUGCUGCACAAACAACUCCUCCAACUGACCUAAACUGCCCAUCUCGUUUGGAAGUUCUAUAAAAUAAAUUCGUAUAUAUAUUAAAAUCAUGUAUAGACAUAGGAGCAGCUUAUUAGUAGAAAUCCCGUUGUACUGUAGCAAAAGAGGGAUAACAUUAUAAGGAUCAUGUACUCACUAUAUAGGACCUCUUUUUUGCUCCCGAAUACGAGGGUCUUACACAGUAAAUAUACAAUCCUACGAUAGUUCUCUCAUCUCAUUUUUCGCUAAAGUGGAACGAGAUCCCUGCUAAGAAGGGCCUUGUAUGUAUAGAUGUAAUAAAACCGAAGUCAUACAGUAUACCUUCGAACUUCUUGUCGUCAAGGUAUAUCCCCUUCAGCAUUGUUAAGUUGCCUAUUUCUCUGGGUAUGCUACCUGUUAAAUAUGUGCAUCCAUUCCAACAAAAAAGAAAGAAAAAAAAAUUUGAUGCUUGUUAUACAUCUUAUAUAUAGAUGUUAAAAUGUAAUCAUGAAGCAAGCAACAUUAAUGGUGGUACGUACGUACCUGAUAGUUGGUUCCUGCUCAGAUUAAUUAUUCGAGUGCAGAUAAGUUGAAGAUAGCAGCGGGUAUGAAACCAGAGAAGCCAUUACCGUACAAUUUGAUGGUUUGAAGUUUAGGAAAGGACCCAAACCACAAAGGAAUGGUUCCCAUAAAGCUAUUGUUUCCAAAGUUAAUCGCCUUCAACCGGCGCAAAAGUGAGAUUGUAUGAACAAUUUUACACCUAGAAACAUGAACCACACAGAAUCACAACUGAUUUAACAAUGAAAAAGUAUAUAAGAAAAUACACUAUCAAUAGGCUAAAACACUCUUUUAAUUGAUCUACCAAUAGCCUAAUAGGAUUAACUAAACCAUUAGAGACUGCAACAAUGAGAAAGUCUGAAGAUUAAAGUUCAAGUUGAAUGUCUUUGAACCCCUAGGUGUUGGAAACAUUUUCAGUAAAUUUGUUCAGGAAAAUAUAAAAACUCGUGAUGCAAUUCCAUUGUUUGGGAUAGCAGAUAUUUACCUAGAAUCCAACCUUAAGCUAACAUUUUUCAUAAGUUUAUUCUUUUCAUUAACUACAAUGGAAUUUAUAAAACAAUUUUAGAAAAACUCGAGUCUAGAUAAUGGACUUUUGUUCCGGUUUAAAAUUUUUUGACUUGUGUUCUAAGCAACAUAAUGUAUUCACAUUUCAAUUGUCAAAGGCAUCGCAAUAAUCCCCAAAUGAAGAUAUUAAAAAUCAUAACUUCUUCUCCAAGUUUUCAUUCAGUUUAUUUCACUUGACCAUCAGAAUUUUAUUCAAAGAAGAUUAAAUAAAGAAAAUAGCAUGCCAAAGAUUAAAAUGAGAAAGUAUAUAAAAAAAUACACUAUCAAUAGGCUAAAACACUCUUUUAAUUGAUCUACCAAUAGCCUAAUAGGAUUAACUACACCAUUAGAGACUGCAACAAUGAGAAAGUCUGAAGAUUAAAGUUCAAGUUGAAUGUCUAUGAACCCCUAGGUGUUGGAAACAUUUUCAGUAAAUUUGUUCAGGAAAAUAUAGAAACUCGUGACGCAAUUCCAUCGUCUGGGAUAACACAUAUUUACCUGGAAUCCAACCUUAAGCGAACAUUUUUCAUAAGUUUAUUCUUUUCGUUAACUACAAUGGAGUUUAUAAAACAAUUUUAGAAAAACUCGAGUCUAGAUAAUGGACUUUUGUUCCAGUUUAAAAAAAUUUGACUUGUGUUCUAAGCAACAUAAUGUAUUCACAUUUCAAUUGUCAACGACAUCGCAAUAAUCCCCGACUGAAGAUAUUAAAAAUCAUAACUUCUUCUCCAAGUUUUCAUUCAGUUUAUUUCACGUGUCCAUUAGAAUUUUAUUCAAAGAAGAUUAAAUAAAGAAAAUAGCAUGCCAAAGAUUAAAAUGAGAAAGUAUAUAAGAAAAUACACUAUCAAUAAGCUAAAACACUCUUUUAGUUGAUCUACCAAUAGCCUAAUAGGAUUAACUAAACCAUUAGAGACUGCAAUAAUGAGAAAGUCUGAAGAUUAAAGUUCAAGUUGAAUGUCUUUGAACCCCUAGGUGUUGGAAACAUUUUCAGUAAAUUUGUUCAGGAAAAUAUAGAAACUCGUGAUGCAAUUCUAUCGUCUGGGAUAACACAUAUUUACCUGGAAUCCAACCUUAAGCUAACAUUUUUUCAUAAGUUUAUUCUUUUCGUUAACUACAAUGGAAUUUAUAAAACAAUUUUAGAAAAACUCGAGUCUAGAUAAUGGACUUUUGUUCCAGUUUAAAAUUUUUUGACUUGUGUUCUAAGCAACAUAAUGUAUUCACACUUCAAUUGUCAAAGGCAUCGCAAUAAUCCCCGACUGAAGAUAUUAAAAAUCAGAACUUCUUCUCCAAGUUUUCAUUCAGUUUAUUUCACUUGUACAUCAGAAUUUUAUUCAAAGAAGAUUAAAUAAAGAAAAUAGCAUGCUAAAGAUUAAAACCCCUCAGUUCAAACUGCUAAUGCACAGCUCUGUUUGGUUUUCUUCUCCAGAGACCAAACUGAGCGAGGAGUCAAGUUCUCCAGUGCACCAUCAAUCUCCUGUUGAUAGGAGCAUAUUUAUGCGACUUAGUUGGCUUGUUCUUGUGCAUUUAUGUCGUGUCUCUUUAGUUAUUUUAGUGUUUAAAGUCAUUUUCGUGUGUUUUCAGAUUUUAAGGACAAAGUAGGCAAGAAGAUGCAUUUUGGAGCAUUUUGGAGCAAAAUGGAGCUUGGAAUGCAUGUAACAUAUUUGGAACCAAGGUUUGGACGAAAUUGAAGAAUUAAAGAGGCUAAGAAUGUGAAGAAUUAAUGUACAAAGGAUCAAGAAUUCAGCCACAAAAGAACACCCACUCCUUGCCGUGUAACCACAUAGCAUUCCCUUUGGAUUCCCAUGCAUGCUUAAUCAUCCUUGUCCCCUAAAAUAUUUCUGAUUUCAUGCCUUAAUUCACUCAAUUAUCAUACUCAAUUGCUGCAUACCUCUUGUUCCCUUCACCCAUCAGAUUUCACACAACUUUCACAACCAUUCCAUGCACCAAUUGAUGCUCCAUCAUCCACAUUUGGGAUCCAAUGCUGUGUGCAACACAUGUUGCUGCACCUUUGACUAAUUUCUGAAACAUUUCACCUCCCCUUUUUAUUUCCAUGCAAUGAACACAAUCAUUCAUGCUCCCUAGCUGAAAUACCACUCCAUUUUACCCUCCAUACUUUGCAUCAUUGCUCCAUUUUCAUCCUUGGACCAUUGCACACCACAAAUUCACCCUCCUUGCUGUGCAUUUUCCCCACUGCCCAAUCUGAUUCUCUAGGGUUUUUGGGGCCUAUAUAUACAUGUUUACACCCCUUGGCAAAGGGUUCACACUCUCAUAUUCACCAUUCAUCACAGAAAUUCGUCCAUACUCACCCUAGGCAGCAAAACACCCCAAAAAACACCAUUCUAGUGCCCAGAAAAUAUCACAGCCACUCCACCUUCUUCCACCCUCUUUGCCGAAGUUCUCCACCACCCUUCCACCAUCAAACACUCCUCUACACUCACCAUAAACCUUUCUGCACCAUAGAACUACCCAAAACCUGUCCACAAACCAAUCUGCCACAAGCAAGGGAAAUGAGGAAUCUUGGAUGCACUUGCUGCCAAGUUGGAGCAUUCUAGGUGUUUUCUUUCUUUGGAUUUUAAUGUCUAAUUCAUGUAAUCUUUGUUUUGCUUUAAGUAUGAUUGGCUAAUUUCGUUUUGGCUAAGGGUGGAUUCAAAACCAUGAUUAUAUAUGUGAAAUAAGUUGAUUACUUUCAGUUAUCGUUGUAUAAGUCGUGAAUACAAUUUGCUUAACCGUUUGAUUUAGAACUUAUUCUUGUAUGUUGGUUGAGAGUGCACGCUUAAUUUGCAUGCUUGAAUUUGAUGCUAGGAUAUAAGUUUGUUUCACCUAAUCGUUAUGAAUUUAUAUUCGUAAGUAGUGAAGGUCGCUAGUCACGAUCGUGUUAAGUAGAUUCCUGGCAAGAGUAUCAUGCUUUUCAUAGUUACGAAUGCCUUGUCGAUGCUUAUGAUUUCCAAAGAACGUAAUGAUUCUAACUUGUGUCUUUAUCAUGCUGUUCAUAUAAAGAACUUGUUGGGAAUAUUUUGUUUGCGAUGCAUAUUCAUCCAAUUCAAUGAUUCUAGGGAAAUCUGAAGGUUAAUUUAAGUGGACCUAAUUAACUUGGAGUGUCGAGAUUCAUAACUUAUUAAAUUGAUAACUGAAAAUUGAUUUAGGUUGCAUAUAUUUCAUGUGUGGAGAAGAACCCCUUAGCCAUUCCAUCAUCCAUUGAUUAUUCAUAACUUUGUGUUACAAUCUGUUUCUAUUACAAUCUGUUUUCCUUGCAAUCUGUCCAUUUAGUUCAUUUUCGUCCAAAUCAAUUCCCCAUUUAUUUUGAAGUCCUAGAUUAGUUAGAGAGUGUGUUGGUUUAUGUUUUUUAGUGUUUUGGUACAAGUUAAAACCCAAAUUCGUCCAAAUUGGUGCUUUGUGUUCAAAACUGCCCAGAAAGUGUUUUUAAGGCAGUUUUGAGUCUUUUAGUUGCUGUUUUGAGUUAUUGGUUUAUUUUAGUAUUUUAAUCGUGAGUUUUGCAUUCUUUGAGUCUAAUCUAGUGUUUAAACUUUGUUUUUACAUUUCUAAGUCAGUUUUCAAGUGUUUAGCAAUCCCUCCUAAUCCCCGGUUUAGAACGAUCCCUACUUACAUACUUUGCUACAAUUGAUAAAAAGAGGGUUUAAUUUUAUGUGUUAACUUAUUUUUCACAUCACCUGUUCAAGCAGCCAUCACCACCUCACUCGCCACUCCGGCGAGGCACCACCUUGCCACCACCCUUAUGUCUCACUCCCUCUCUACCACUCUCCCUAUUUCCCUCACCUCUUUCUCUCGAUACUGUGCUCGCUGCAUAGAAACAGCAAGGCGACCACCGUCGCCAUUUUUUCAUGGCGAACUACGCCUUCAUGAAACCAUCACCAUCAAUCUCGCCACCUAGGCGAGUUUUACC